GUCAAUAAAUUAAGCGCCCCAAGAAGGUCAGUGCUUGGCGUUGGUCUCCAUUUACCUCCAAACGCUUCCGCAGACCAUCCUCUUCUCCACUCCAAAGUGUCUUCUCAUUUCUCAGCGUGUGUUCUCGUGAGCUCUGACUGCUCCAAUGGCCGAGCUUGUGGGCAGCAUGGUGGUCGGGCCACUGCUGUCCCUGGUGAAGGAGAAGGCGUCCAGCUACCUCCUUGACCAGUACAAGGUCAUGGAGGGCAUGGAGGAGCAGCAUGAGAACCUCAAGGUCAUGCUGCCGGCCAUCCUGUAGAAUGCACAUGGAAAGCCGUGAUGAUAUUAUUUUGUAUUACGGCUUUCGAUGCAACCAAUAAAUUAAAGGUCUGUUUAGCUCACCCGUCACAUCGAAUAUUUGAUACUAAUUAGGAGUAUUAAACAUAGGCUAAUUACAAAACUAAUUGCACAGAUGGAGUCUAAUUCGCGAGAUGAAUCUAUUAAACCUAAUUAGUCCAUGAUUUGAUAAUGUGGUGCUACAGUAACCAUUUACUAAUGAUGGAUUAAUUAGGCUUAAUAGAUUCGUCUCGCGAAUUACACUCCAUCUGUGCAAUUAGUUUUUUAAUUAGCUCAUGCUUAGUCCUCCUAACUAGCAUCCGAACAUUCGAUGUGACACUGCUAAAGUUUAGCACAUAGUAUCUGUCGUUAAAUUAAGCGCCCCAAGAAACAGGUUUAUCAAAAAAAAAAAUUAAGCGCCCCAAGAAGGUCAGUGCUUGGCGUUGGUCUCCAUUUACCUCCAAAGCGCUUCCGCAGACCAUCCUCUUCUCCACUCCAAAGUGUGUUCUCAUUUCUCAGCGUGUGCUCCUCUGACUGCUCUAAUGGCCGAGCUUGUGGGCAGCAUGGUGGUCGGGCCACUGCUGUCCCUGGUGAAGGAGAAGGCGUCCAGCUACCUCCUUGACCAGUACAAGGUCAUGGAGGGCAUGGAGGAGCAGCAUGAGAACCUCAAGGUCAUGCUGCCGGCCAUCCUGGAAAGGAUCACUGCCGCAGAGAAGCAGGCAACCUCCAGAGAAGCAAUCAGACCCUGGCUUCAGAAGCUUAAGGUGGCGGCAUACGAGGCCAUCCAAGUCUUCGAUGAAUUCAACUAUGAGGCCCUCCGUCGUCAAGCCAAGAAAGAGGGGCGCUACAUCAAGCUCGGGAUGGGCAACCGCAUCAUGUUCCGUCGCAGGAUGGGCAACAAGCUUUGCAAGAUUGUGCGCGAUAUUGAGGCCCUUGUGAAGCAGAUGCGCGACUUUCGGUUCGACAAACAGCCACAAGCGCAGGUUCAGAUAAAUUAUCUGCGUGAGAAUGACUCCACCAUGGUUGAUCCAGAGAUUGUCAGCAGAUCCAGAGAUGAAGAGAAGCAAAAGAUUGUUAGAAUGUUGGUCAAAGAACAAGCUAACAAUAAGGAUCCGAUGGUCGUUCCCAUUGUGGGGAUGGGUGGGUUGGGCAAGACCACCCUAGCUCAGCUCAUCUUUAAUGACCCUGAAGUGAAGAAGCAUUUCCACCAACUAAUGAAGUGGGUCUGCGUGUCAGAUGAUUUCGAUGUUUGUAACCUUGCCAACAAGAUCUGCAACGCUUCUGAGAGCAACCUGGAGAAUGCCUUGCAGAACCUUCAGAGAGAACUCGCUGGAAAGAGGUACUUUUAGAAUUUAAUUUGAUGUUGAUUCACUCAUCUCAAACACGCACACUGGUUUUUUUUCCCUCACACAUGCUCAAAAUAUGUGCAUUGCCCUUGAGAAUAACACGUAAUUGAAAAGAACAAGUAAAGCACAUGCAAACUACAUACACAAAAUUCAACUUCAAACUUAGAUCAAGAAGACAACAACGCCUCACCACUAGCAAAUUGCCCUCUUGGAUAUGCACGGAACUUGCACAUCUCACAUACCAUUUACGCUUCCUCUGGUGGCAUUCACAUAACUUAAGAAAAAGACGUACACAAAUAGAAACGUACACAAAUAGAAACGCACUAAUGGCAUGAUUAUUUGUAACAGGUACCUUCUUGUAUUGGACGACGUCUGGAAUAAGGAUGAUAACAAGUGGAACAAGCUGAAUGCCUGUCUUAAACAUGGUGAUGUUGGUAGCGCCAUACUAACGACAACACGUGAUAAAGAAAUAGCUCAACUCAUGAGUACAGGUGAAGAACAUGGCAUUGCACGUUUGGACAAUAAAUUCAUCAAGGAAAUUAUUGAGGCUAAAGCAUUCAUUUCGCAAGAGAGAAAACCAACUGAUUUAGCUGGCUUGGUUGAUGACGUUGUUGAGAGAUGUGCAGGGUCUCCAUUGGCAGCCAAGGCACUAGGAUCUGUACUACGUGGCAAGACAAGCACGGAAGAAUGGAAGGCUGUGAUUAGCAAAAGCAUCGCCCAUAACAAGGAUGAUCGAAUCCUGCCUAUUCUCAAGCUCAGUUACGAUGACCUGCCAUCACACAUGAAGCAGUGUUUUGCUUUCUGUGCUGUGUUUCCCAAGGACCAUGAGAUUGACGUGGAAAGGCUGAUCCAACUAUGGAUGGCAAAUGACUUUAUUCCCGAGCAAAAAGAUGUUCGUCAUGAAACAAUUGGUAAACAGAUUUUCAGUGAGCUGGUCUCAAGGUCAUUCUUUGAAGAUGUGAAGCAAGUCAAAGGGACAAGAUAUGGUUUCGUGUAUUGGUAUUUGUCUACAAGUACAUGUAAAAUCCAUGAUCUUAUGCACGAUGUGGCACUAUCUGUCAUGGGCAAAGAAGUUGCUACCAUAACUGAGAAGCCAAAGCAGAGUGAUGAGUUUCUUCAGAACACUUGUCGUCAUAUAUUGUUAUCAUGUGACGAGCCAGAGGCCGUUUUGAAUGAUUCUCUGAAUAUAAGGUCGCCAGCUAUACAAACACUACUACUUGGGGAAGAUUUCUUGCCGACAUAUAUUUUUUUGAAGGAUCCGCGCAUAAAAUCCCUGCAGCAUCUCGCAAAAUACAGCUCUCUGCGUGCAUUGAGACUUUGGCAGACUAAGAGCACAAUCCUACUGAAACCAAAGCAGCUACAUCUCUUGAGGUAUCUUGAUAUCUCGUUUAGUGAUAUAGUGGCACUUCCGGAAGAUAUCAGCAUUUUGUACAAUCUGCAAACGCUGAAUAUUUCUAACUGUUGGAAACUUGGUCGACUUCCAAAGGGAAUAAAGUACAUGACUGCCCUCCGUCACCUCUACACUCACGGAUGUGAGGAGUUGAAGCGCAUGCCACCAGAGGUUGGACAUCUCACUUCCCUGCAAACACUUACAGAUUUUGUAGUGGGUACAGGCCCUGAUUGCAGUAGUAUUGCAGAGCUGCAGCAUUUAAACAACCUUGGUGGUCCACUACUGCUUAGUCAACUCGAAAAUGUGACAAAAGCAGCAGAUGCAAAACAGGCCAGUCUUGGAAAUAAAAAGGAGAUCAGGGAAUUGUCAUUAAGCUGGACAGGUAGUGAGGAGGAGAAACAACAUUGUCAUAAGGUGCUGGAGGGUCUCGAAGCUCCUCCUGGACUAGAGGCUCUGAGGAUACAGCAUUACCAAGGAACCAGUUUCCCAACAUGGAUGGGUACGCUGCCAAAAAUGGUGGAGCUUCGUCUUUUUGACUGUAACAAGUCCAAUAAGCUUCCUCCACUUGGGAGUGUAGCAGCUCUACAAGUUCUUCAUUUGAAAAGAUUGAAAAAACUGGAAAGCUUGUGCAGUGGUGGUACAUUCUUUCACUUUCCUAAUCUGAAGGAGCUUACGCUGGAAGACCUGCCGGAAUUUGAUAGAUGGUGUGAAGUAAACUGGGUCCAAGGAGAACAGAUAAUGUUUCCUCAACUUGAGAAAUUGUUUAUUACAAAUUGUGGAAAGGUUACAGCAUUACCAGGGCCAGCACUUCUCGGAGGAUCGUGCUGUGGAGAUUCCAAGGAGCAAGACGAGAGGAAGCUUUGGUCGGCAUUUCCAGUCCUGAAGGUACUCAAAUUACAAUGCUUAGCAAAGUUUCAGAGGUGGGGGGGCGCUGCUGAAGCAACUCAAGGGCAGCAGAUAAUAUUUCCUCAGCUUGAAAAGUUAUCAAUCAAAAAGUGCCCCGAACUGGCAGCAUUACCAUCAGCUACAUCUCAGGGAGUAUCAUUUGACCAUAGUGAUGUUACAGCAUGGUCAGCAUUUCCAAACUUAAAGAAGCUCUUGUUAGAAGACUUAGAAAGUUUUAAGAGCUUGGGGAUGACGGAAGCAACUCAUGGUGAACAGCAGAGAUUCUCUGACCUUGAGACUCUGGGUGUUAAGAAAUGUCCGAAGUUGACAAUUCAACCGGGGGUGAUAGAAGCACCAAAGCUCGGUGUAUUAGAAAUAAAUGGCAGCCAACUGACAGCAAUAAUAGUGCCUACAGUUAUUAACUCAUUGUCCGAACUGGUGUUAUCAGUCGAAGACACAGAAACUACUUUACCAACUGUGCAUGGUGCCUUUGAGCUGGUGGACGCCAGUAAUAAAUACCCUCUGACACAUCUGGAGCUAAGCGGCUGCAACUUUCUGUUCCCCUCAAGUCCACUGGCACUAUGGGCAUGUUUUGUCCAGCUGCAAGAUUUGAAAAUUGAGAAGAUCAACCAUGCGCUUGUCUACUGGCCAGAAAAAGAGUUCCAGAGCUUGGUAUCCUUGCGGCACCUUACCAUUUGGAAGUGCAGUGGUCUGAUUGGGUACGUGAAAGCCGCUCCUAGCCAACCAAUAUCAGAAAGGAGCCAAGUUCUCCCCCGUCUCGAGUCUCUACGCAUACGGGAUUGUGAAAGUCUGGUAGAGGUCUUCAACGUCCCCGCAUCUCUCAAGACGAUGGAUUUGCACGACUGCCCUAAGCUUAAGUCCAUAUUCGGAGAGCUACAGGACGAGCCAACAUUCAAUCAAGGGCCCAGCGCUGCACCGAAGCUGUCAUCAUCGGCCUGGGAUCACUUACUUCCAUGUCUUGAAUCUCUAAAUAUACGGCAGUGCGAAAGCUUGUCAGAGGUUCUCAACCUUCCCCCAUCCCUCAGGGAAAUAGAUAUUUGGGAAUGCCCAGAGUUGAGAUCAGUCGAAUGUUGCUUGGGAGAGUUUGCAACCCUGGAACGCCUCGUUCUUAGUGAAUGCAAAAGCCUGGCAUCCUUGCCCGAUGGGCCACAAGCAUACUCAUCUCUCCGUCAUCUUCAAAUUACAUCAUGUCCAGGUAUACAAUCGCUUCCUUCAUCCCUGAAGAAGAGACUGGACAACCUCAUUGAUAAAUAUUUGGAUGCUCGUUACGAAGGUACCCAUCAAACUCAUUUGUCGUUUCACCAUCAAAUGCAUAAAUCUGCUCAUGUGUAUUUUCCUCUUCAACCUGAGACCCCGCAUUCUAUAAAUAUAUAUAUACCAGUCGCCUUAAAGCAUCCAUGCAGUAGUUUGGAUGAUAUGGUGUGAUUAUUUUUACAUUAGAGAAAGGUAUUUGCGUCUAUAGACUAUAGCUAGGUGUGAACUGUGCCCAGAAAUUAUUGACAAGGAAUAGUGGAAAGAACUCAGCAAUCACUAAAAAAACAUGAAGAGUGUCCCACAAAGUUACUUUUUCAUGCAGUUGUCAUGGUGGCUUGCUGGUUUCAGCACUUGCACAAUACGAAAUUUAAAAAAUCCAAGUGAUCCCUCCACACUUGGACAAUUAAGAACACGACUAUAGAUUGUUUUCAAUUUGCAUUGAACUGAUAUUUUUCUAUUUCCCUAAUGUUACACAUCAAAUAGAGAUGCCAAGUUGCCAAUGCAACGAAGGUUUUUACUUGUCAAUUUAAUUGAAUUUUGCUGUCUAAAGGACAAAAUGUGGAUUAAAUAAAGAGCUCUUUUACGGUGCACAAUACUACCACGUGGUAGUAUAGAUUAUAAGUACUUUUUUAGCAUGGGCAAAAUUGUAAUUAGCACGCAUAUAUUAUUUGGAGAUUUUUUUCCGCGAGCCCUUCUCCCCACGCGCCGCCAGUCCCCCACGUCCGCGCCUGGGCGCACCCGCGCCCCCGGAACCCUCGGCGGCCGAUGCUGACACUGACGACUUCCUGCCGGCUGAGGCUGCGCGUGGCGGUGACGUGCUGUUUGAGCUUCACUCCCACUCAAACCACAGUGACGGCUUCCUCUCCCCCACCGCGCUCGUCGAGCGCGCCCACCGCAAUGGGGUAAGUGGAUGAAUCCUAAAUGGCCUCUAGUCCGUUUGCCUGCUAGGUGUUUGAGGAAAUGCUUGUGACGUUUGUUCGGCGGCGUUGUACUGUGCUUUGUGGAAUUCGACUUCGAUGGCCUCAUCGUCUUUAGCUGUGGUGCUUAACCGAGCAUUGCGUUUGUUGUACCUGCCAGUGUGCCGUGUGCGUAGCUGUUCCCCGUCUUAUAGGACUGUUCCCCGUCUUAGUAUCUGGAUGAAAGUGCUGUACUGGUGACUACAGUAUCUAACAGGGAAGCAGUUUCCUUGGAUGUUUCAACUCCCCUCUGAUGAUCGGUUUGUUUAAAUUUGAAUGAAGCUGUCAUCUUCUGGCACGCAUUGGUUAGUUCAGACGGUGUAUUGCUUAGCUAAUUGCUGCUGAAAAAAAUGAUUGAGAUGCACUAGUGCCUGUUUCCCCUUGAAAUGUUUUAUGGAUUAUAUACCAUAACCUACCUCCUAAAGUUUCGGUAUGGUUGUGUGCUGUUUAAAAGUUAUAUAUUGAUGGGCACAUAUUACAAAUCUUGGAGUGUCUAAACUAUAUAUGUUUGUGGCGUAGGUGAAAGUUCUUUCCCUAACAGAUCACGACACUAUGGCUGGCAUACCAGAAGCUGUUUCAGCAGCUUCCAAGUUCGGCAUUAGAAUAAUUCCUGGAGUUGAAAUCAGUGCGCUGUAUAAUCCAAGGUAAGUGCCCUUUAGCUUUUAGAGAAGAGAGCUUUCUGUGUUUUGAAUAAAAAUCAUCAAUUGCAUGCAGCUUAAUGAAUCAAGCAUCCUAUUGUUGCGGACUCUCAUAAAUAGAUCUGCAAUAUUGUUUUAAUGCUCCAUUGCCUGUCUAAUAAAAUGAUACUGUAAACAACAUUUAAGCAGUUGUAUUAUGACUAGGGAUAUUUCAUAUGAUGAUUCAUUAUAUUAUGAAUUUCAUUUUCUAUAAGGGAAGGUGCCGGUGCUGGUGAGCCUGUUCAUAUCCUUGCAUACUAUGGUACAUGCGGUCCAUCAAGAUAUGAUGAGUUGUACAGCAUGCUAUUGAACAUCAGAGAUGGGAGAUACUUACGUGCAAAGAAUAUGCUGGCAAAGCUAAAUAGACUCAAGGUGACGAUAAAGUGGGAGCAUAUAACUAAAAUUGCUGGUGAGGGAGUGGCAACUGGUCGAUUGCAUGUAGCAAGAUCUUUGUGUUAAUAAUAGGGCCUGUGUUUUUUGCAGAGGAAGUGAACCAUUUGCUGAGACUGUUGUGCAGUCAAUUAGUCGUACUGGGGGUAUAUCUGCACUCGCUCAUCCUUGGACCUUGGUCAUUGAAGAACCCUGAUGCAGUAAUCAGGUCUUUAGGUGCUGGCCUUAAUGGUAUGGAGGUCUACAGAAGUGAUGGAAAGGUUGAUGGUAUGUGUGCUACACACUUACACUUUAUGCACUAUGACUUGAAAUAGAACAGAGGACUCCGGUAGUCCUGUCAUGCGCUAAAAUCUUCCCAGAAGAGUGCGGUGUUCCCAUCGCCCAACUGUACCCGGAUGGAAAUUUGGAAGAUUUUACGAAGGGUAUGGUCGUUGUCCACCGUAUUGGCUAGGUGCUUCCAUGGUCGUUGUUCGUCAGUCCUCUUGAACCACAACCAGCGCAAUCGGAGGGCCAGCGAUGCAAUUUUGAGGUUCUGAAUUCCUAGACCACCAAAGAGUUUAGGGCGGCAUGCAAGUGGCCAGGCCACUGCACAUUGCCCUCCAUUGGCUGCCUGCUUACCUGCCCACAGAAAACCCUUUCUAAGUUUGUCGAUUUCAUGAAAUACCCAGGCCGGUAUAUCAAGGGAGAUUAGGUUGUAGGUGCAGGUCGCGGUCAGAACUGAUUGAACCACUGUUAGUCUCCCCGCCUUGUUCAUGAGUUGAGCUUUCCAACUCGGGAUUUUGCUGGCCACCUUGUCGAUCAAGGGUUGGAAGUGGGAUUUCCUCAGUCUUCGAACCGAUAGGGGCAUGCCAAGGUACUGUAUUGGGAACUCUACCACUUGGGCAGGGAAGAUGCUACUAAUUCUCGCGAUUUGCUGAUCAUUGCAAGCAAUUGGGGCGAUGGAGCACUUCUGUAAGUUGGUGUGCAACCCAGAUGCGUUACCAAAGAAGUCGAGAAUCCCCUUGAGGGCAAUCAAAUCCUGGGCCACCGGCUUAGCAAAAAUGAUCACGUCGUCAGCAUACAAAGAGCAUUGGUGACAUAUGGCACUAUCAGCCGGGUGGGAGAGGACUCCCAGUUCCGUAGCCCUCUGAGAAGCCGGUGCAUCACUUCCAUAAUGAGGAUAAAAAGCAUUGGCGAUAGUGGAUCGCCCUGCCGCAGCCCUCUUGCGUUGCGUAUUGACCGACCUGGGGAGCCAUUUAGCAGCACUCUGGUGGUGGCAGUGGAAAUGAGCACGGAGAUCCAAUCCCUCCACUUAAUCCCAAAGCCUCUCGCUUGUAGAACUUGCAGUAGAAAAGGCCAACAGACGGUGUCAAAGGUCUUUGAGAUGUCAAGCUUGAUUAGGAGGCUGGGCUUGUGUUUCCGGUGUAGGGUUUUCGCAGCUAGCUCCACAAACUUAAAAUUAUCAUGGAUUGACCGUCGCUUCACGAACGUGCUCUGGUUAAUGUCCACAAGGUUGUGCAGCUCCUGAACAAGCCAGUUGGCAAGCAGCUUUGCAACUAGCUUCGCGAAGCUGUGCACAAGGCUGAUGGGUCUGAAAUCAGUCGGGGACACAGCGUCUUGCCGUUUCGGUAGCAGAGUGAUUAGGGAGCAAUUCAGGCGGCCAAAUUGGCGCAUGCACCGUGGUAGAGCGCGUCAAAACAUGCAAGAACAUCUCUUUUGAUCACCGGCCAGGUUGCUUUGUAGAAUUGCUCAACUUGUAGAUGAGGUCCUGCAAGUACCCUGUGGUUUGUAGUCAAACUACAGCAUUACUGCUAUUGCAAAGAUUAGGAGAUUUUAUCUCUCUUUUUCUAGGAAUUUUUUUUAAAUAAACUGCAUGAGAAGAAGUGCAAGUAAAUUCACGGAAAAUGUAAAUUCACUGACUGACCGACCAGUCUCGGUGCCUGAGGCGCUGAUGAUCCCUUGCUUCUCCAGGCGCUUCUUCCUGUCCUCCUUGAUGCGCUCCAGCAGCUCGAUGUCGUCGUCCUCCUCGAGCACAAGGGCCCGCGCGGGGCGGUCGGCAGCGAACGGGGAGAACGACGCCGCCAGGGCGGCGAGCACGCAUGACGCCAGGCCGCUCUGUCGGCCGACGACGGCGGCGGCCUCACGCCGGUCCUGGCCUCCGUUGCUGCUGACGCCUCUGAACUUGGCCCAGCAUGCUGCCGCUGGGGGAUGGUGCUGCGCUGGCAGCUCCUGCACCGCAGCCGCCGCCGCCCGUUGCAACCCUAGCGACUGAUUGUAAAUGAAGAACCAUAGCGACCAAUUGGAAAUGAGAAGAUGAAUAAAAGGAAAGGAGAUGAUAAUGAAGAAAGAUUUGAUAUAUUGUAACAAUGCUAAUUUUCAUCUUUCCAAUCAUACCCAUAUACUACCCAUACUACUCAUGCAUAUUAUUACCUAUACUUCAACUUAAAAUUCUAGUAGUAUACAAUUAAUUUGAACUGUCGGAUCCUUACAUACGAGUCCUUUUCAACAAUAGUAUAGGGUAGUAUUAUACACCACAAAAGAGCUCUAAAUAAAAGGUCCCAGGAGCCUACUGUGUGGUACCUUUCUUUUAAUGGUUUUUUUGCUAACUUCACGCCUUUGGAUGCACAAAAAUGUACUAUUUCUGUUUUUGUUUCAGAAAGAACUGGAGUUUUUCUCUUUCCAAUUCGGUAGUUGUAUAUUUUAAUAUGCAUACUCAAAUCUGCUUGACGUACACGUUUUUCAUGUUAUACUCUAGAUUUCUAUUGAUAAAUCCUAACAUCAGCGAUUACCAAGUGCCAAGUUAUUGAAACCAAAGACAUGGAAAUAUGCCAUUCAUUUGUAGAAAUCAGUGAGCUGUCAAAACAUUAAGUAAGGUUAGUAGCAUAAAAAGUUUGGGUUUUUAUUAGAAUCAUUUCAAUUAAUCUAGUAUUGAUUCCAUAUCCUGUCUAUUGUAGGGACAUGUUUGCUUCAUUUACUGUCAGCAUCCAAACCAUAAUAUGGAAAUGCUAUUUUCCUUCUAUGUUGACCAAGGUCUGAGUUACCAUACAGGCUCUGAUGCAAGUUGUUAAAGGCAGUAUAAAUUCUGUACCAGACAUUUAUUUAUAUUUGAUAAUCAUGAGAGAUAUAUUACUAUUUUAUUUUUGCAUCAAAUGGAUGUGGAGGCUGGGAUAUUAAUACUUUCUCCCAUUAAUACAGCUACAUCAUGGCAGUUAUCUCCCUGUGAUUGGAAGAGAGUUCUGCAUUUUGCAUAUCAACUGCAACUAUAUGAUGUUUAUAACUGAGCCUGGAGAGAUAUUAUGCCAUUUCUGUGACCAUUCUCUUCUAUUAUGUCCAUUUCACAUAUUCAAAACAAAAUUUUCCCUUAAUUGACUAUUGUAUUGAAUUGAUAUUUUCCUUUUUUUAGAUAAUACUGAUAUUUUUAACUUGCUUUACUUUCCCUUAACAUGAUUGGAAGUUUAAGACCAUGCCUAAAUUUCAAAUGUGCCUUCCUUUUAGUGCAUUACUUCUUUGGUGACCAAUUAAUGUUUUGACUAGCUGCUACUGAUCAAUUAUUCAUACCUGCCAAAGGACCAAUAACUUCGUGGUGCAGCCAAUUAAAUUGUUACUGAUUUCAUGCUAUCAACAUGGAAAAAGAUACAGUUUGACACCCAGCCACAAUCAAACAAUAACUUAGUAGUUUGAAAUGGUUAUCGCAAUUUGCGAUGCUUUGUGCAGAGAAGAUGACUCUUUGAGGUUAAAGAAGAUUCUACAAAUACCCAGCAAGCUUCAGGAAUGAAUUAUUUCAAGCUGGUGGCAUAAUAGUGCACACGGCGGAUGCAGCAACAGAGGACAACUCUGCUCCCCGGCCCCAGGCGCGCCGCCGAAAUGCCUCGGCACCGCCGCCUCCGACACGGCAAGGGCAGCGGGCGCCACAAGCUGAUGAACCUGCACAGGCAAAAGCCAGAACUGAGGCGUUUGGCUUUGCCGAGAUGGCCACACCCAUGUCUGAACGGGCAAAGGCCCGCCCUCCGGCGGAGCCCGUAGAGCAGGGCGGCCCCGACGACCAAGACGGCCAGACCGCAGGAGGGAGGGCUCGCGGCGUGUUCUCGCCGCAGGACAUCCAGGCGGACGGAGGAGGAUCUUGCGAUGUGUCGGCGACGGGCGCUGAGGAGCAGGCGGGGUCUCAUGGCGCUGUGGGCAACGGGAGGCCGAGGAAGCUGGAAGGAGGGGACAGGGAGAAUGAUGCUGAAGCUGGUGUGGUGCGAGCUGACGAACAAGCGCGGAUUCUGGACCAUGUCUUCUCCAAAGGACGUCAACACCAGGUACAACAGCAACCUCACCUUUGUUCUUCCUCUUCCUGUAAAGGGUCGUGCACACAAGGUGUUCGGUCUUUUGUCGUUGCAAGUUUUGCAAAGGAAAAAGGGGACAGGGGCAUAUCUACUAAUCAAAGUAGACGGCGUUUAACGCUAGCACCACGAUUAGCACCCGCAGAGCAACUUUGCAGCACGAAGAAGGUACAGUCAGUAUUGACCAGGGAAAAUUUUGAAGAUUCAGAAGUUCUAAGGGAAAGAGGAGGAAUGGAAAAGGAGGAACAGAGUGAGAGAGAGAAGAAGCAAUUCAAAAAAUCGCAGGAUCCUUUGCAAGGUCUCCGAAGGAACGAGACUGGCUCUCGAUUCUGGGCCUUAGCAAAUGAGGACAGUUCUGACGAGGAGGAGGAAAGGGAGGAAGAAAGUGAUAAGAUGAAAAUGGAAAGUAUAGUGGCUGAGGAGAGAAGCUGUUCUUCCCUAGAGGAAAGAACAGAACUCUCUAGCAGUGGAUCUAGAGAAAAGGGAAUAAAAUUAGUUAAGAAGCAGGAAAGCAAAGAUAGAACAAAGGGCAAAGACAAAAAACCUGGACAUAUGAUCAAACCAUGGAAAGGCCCUUUACCUCAGAGAAAUUACCCUUUGAAAAUGUCACUAGGUGACAUCAGGGUAAAAGAUCUGCGUGAGGUGGCCCAUCCAUUGGAUAAGAGAAGUCUAGAUAUUUUUUUGGAGGAAGAAUCAAAAGUUAUGUAUGAGGAUAACUACAUAGGGGAGGCUGAUUCAGUGAAGUUAAGGAUGAACACAUUGGAGAAGAAGUGCUCAUCAAAGAAGACGAAGUUUGAAUUCAAAUUUCAAAAAGUUCCAAAGAUUAACUCAGGGAAAUCAAUAACCUGGGUGGGUAAAACUGGUUUCAUUCAUGUGGGACCACGUGCAGUUUUCCAAUAUACAAAUGGUUUAAGUCAGCUUCUUAAUAAUGGAGGGAAGCUCAAAAGGCAAGACAUUAAAUGUCUGCCCAAGAAUCAAGGUGGUGUUUGGGCUGCCUGGGGUAAAGGGGCGCCAGCCUCUGUGAUUAAUAGCAACUCAUCUGUGCAACAAGCACCCUUUGACAUUCUAACCACAGCUGUCGAGUGUCACAGAGAGAGAACAGAUUGUCAGGAGGAAGAGGAAGAAGGAAGAAUGUUGAGGAGAGGGUUUGGCACAAGAGGAAUAUCUGGAGCUAGGGGAGCACAUGACGGUCGGUUUAACCAGGACCGACUAGAAAUGGGAGCACAAAGAGAAGAUUCAGGAGGCGUCUGGCACUUUGGAGGAAAUCAGAGAAGACAGAUGGAAGCCAGAGCAGGUGGCAGGGAAGGGGCAGGAGAUGGGUAUGGAAGAAGAUUUAUAUCAAGAGAUGGGUCAGGCAAUGAGAGGAAUAGGGAAGGGCAACAACAAGGUUUUGGGAGCUAGAGAGGUCUACAGGGGCCAGGAGGAUCAAGGGUGGAUGUGAGGGUGGAGUCCCUGAGAGGCAGAGGGGGAUGGCGUAGGUGGCAGGAGCGUACACAAAGAGCAGAAGUGGUGAAGGAAGAGGAUAAAGGAAAGAAGGUGAUAACACGUGAUGGUGAACAGAAAGAAGGAUCGAGGGGGAAAGCUGGGAUGGAUUUCCAGAUGACAGUAGAUGGACUUGGAGAAGAAGAGAAAGGAGAUGACACCAAGUCAGGGAUCAAGUGCUCAAAAUGUGCAAAGAAAGGACAUGUGGCUGCCACGUGCACUAAUCCAGUUUACUGUGUUAUCUGUAACGGUGAUGACCACGUCAAUCACAAAUGUUUGCUGCUAAAGCAGUCUAGGCCAGUGGCACACGCGGUGGGAUACGCUGUCUAUGGGCUUGGUUUCUACCACAUUCCACAUCCACCGCUGUCUAGGAGUAAAAAAGAAUCCAAGAAGGCCCUAAUUAGGGUGGGAGGAGGGAAACUAACCAAGGAGAAGGUGGUUUCACAACUGCAAAGGUUGUACCCAGGAAAGUGGAAUUGGGAACUGGAAGACAAUGAAGAUAACACCUUCAUCACUACAUUUCCCUCAAAAUCUGAACUUCAAAGGGCAAUAGCUUUUGGAGGGGCUAAUGUUAGAGAAGAUGGAGUUCAGAUAGGUGUGAGGUUACAAUUUGAAACUUGGCAAGAGAAAGAAGAGGGAUUCCUUUUACCUAAAGUUUGGGUAAGAGUACAUGGGCUGAGAAAAUCUCUAAGGGAGUAUAUGAAUUUGUGGGCAAUAGGUUCAUUGUUGGGAUCUACCCAAACUGUGGAUAUGGAGAUGACUAGAAAAAAUGAAUUUGGAAGAAUAUGUGUGGCAGCCCUUAACCCCUUGCUUAUCCCCUCACAUUUAGAUGUGGUGAUAGGGGAUCACUACUUUGAACUAGAAUUUGAGGUGGAAAGGAAAGGGACUGAUGAGAAUGGAGAGGAAGCAAAUUUUGAUUGGAAGGGAGAUGCAGAAGGAGAGGAUGAGGGAGAGGGCAGUGAGGAUGGCUUAUUGCAGGAUGACCCAGAUAUGAUCAGGGAAAUAAAAAGAAGGAAAAAUGAUAGUGAGGUCAAGGAGAAGGAAGAUAGCAGUACAAAAUAUAGGCAGGAGGAGCAGGGAUGGACAGAUAAAGAAUCAUGGAAAGAUAAAGUUCAGAAGAUGAGUGAAAUGGAGUUUAAUCUGUUUCUUAAGGAAAAGGCAGAAGAAAUAAUGGAUAGAGCAGUGGACAAAACUUUGGAGGUUUUGAUAGAUCAGGUUAUGACUGACCAGAAUGAAAAUAAUGAGGGGGAGAGCAGCUGGGAGGAGGAAGAGGGAACAGAUGAACUGAAGAAGAGGGCUGCAAUUCCUGAGACAGUAAUGACGCCAACAAGGGUUAGUCCAAGGUUGGCUAACUCAGGAGAUGAGCAUAUUCUUGCUAAGACAGAGAAGAUGGCUGCUAGGAAAAAUCUGGAGCUCAAAGAAGGUAAUUAUGAAACUGAAGUCUCCUUUCAUUUUCCUUUAGAUAAUGUUAUCUGUAAUGUUAGUCAACUAGGGGUUAGGUUGGGAGAGAGUGAAAAAGAGAAGGAAAGGGUAGUACAAGAAAUUCUCACAGUACAAAAGAGAGACAUAGAUCUGCCUGUAGAGGUAGAUAAUCAAGAUGAGAGUAAUCUGUACAGUGACAUGGAGGAGGAGAGGGAAGAAAUAGAAAGUAGUCAAAUUCAGAACCUUUGUGGGGAACUUUUGGAAGAGGUUUUUGACGAUGAUUUUAGUUACAUGGAUUUUUACUCUAAGAUGGGUAAUCACAAGUCUUGUGCUAAGUCACGAAAGAGAAAGACUUGUAAGGUCAGGCUACCCAAAGUCAAUAUCGAUAUGGUUUCCAAAUGAGAGGAAUCUUCUGGAACAGCAGAGGUCUUAGUGACUUGGCUAAAAAAAGAUUCCUUUUAGAAACAUCUAAAGAACAGAACUUAGCUUUCAUUGCUCUACUAGAAACAGGAAAAAGAGACUUUACCUAAGCCACUCUAAGUAAUUUGUGUGGGGGAAAAACUUUAUCUGGCAUUGGACUGAACCACAUGGAAGAUCAGGGGGUAUCCUCCUAGGUGUGGAUCUAGAUGAGUUAGACAUUGGUAGUAUUGAUGAAGGAGACUUUUAUGUGAAGUUCAAAGUAAGGACAAGAAAAGAUAAUUUCCAGUUUGUGUUGGUGGCUGUUUAUGGAGCAGCACAACCAGCUUUUAAAGAAGCUUUCUUGACCGAAAUGGUGCAGGCCUAUAGAAAAGAGAACCUUCCUAUUGUCCUUGGGGGAGAUUUUAACAUCAUAAGAAACCCAAGUGAAAAGAACAAUGAAAGGUACGAAGACAAAUGGCCCUUUCUUUUUAACGCUAUCAUAGAUAGCUUAAAUUCAAAGGAGAUACAUAUGUCAGGAAGAAAGUACACUUGGGCUAGUUCCUUAAAAAAUCCAACAUAUGAGAAAUUGGAUAGGGUGUUGGUUAGUACAGAGUGGGAAGAGAAAUUUCCUUUAGCUACGGUUGAUGCAUUGAGCAGGGAAAUCUCAGAUCAUACACCCUUAUUGCUUAGUACUGGACAGGAAGGGGUGAGAAGGAACCAACACAUGUUUAAGUUUGAACUGAGCUGGCUUUUGAGGAAAGAUUUCCUUGAGAUAGUAGCUGAUGUGUGGAGUAAGGAAAGAAAAGGUUCCAAUCCUAUACAGAAAUGGCAAAAUAAGAUUAGGAGGUUAAGGCAAUUUCUGAGAGGAUGGGCUAAAAACCUAAACGGGAAGUAUAAAAAAGAAAAACAGGAGCUACUUAAAAGGGCAAAUGAGCUAGAUAAAAAGGCUGAAUCACAGCUGCUAAGUCAGCAAGAAAGUGAUUUAAAGAAUUGCAUUCAAGAUACACUAGUUCAGCUCCUGAGAGAAGAAGAAAUAAGAUGGUAUCAAAGGGCAAAAAGCAAUAAGCUACUGAAUGGAGAUAACAACACAAAAUAUUUUCAUAUGGUAGCCAAUGGCAAACACAGGAAAACAAGAAUCUUUAGACUGGAACAGGAUGAGGGCAUUAUAGAAGGGGAUGAUAAUCUUAAAAAUUACAUAACUAAAUAUUAUAAAGAACUAUUUGGAUCUCAAUCAAGGAACAUUUGUUCUAUGAACGAAUCCUUGACAGAGGAUAUCCCUCAAGUAUCAAGAGAAGAAAAUGAAAUCUUGACUGAAAAAUUCACAGAAAAGGAGGUCAGAGAAGCUAUCUUUCAAAUGAAGCAUAACAAAGCUCCGGAAUCCGAUGGAUUCCCAGUGGAGUUUUACCAAGUAUUCUGGAGUCUCAUUAAAGAUGAUCUAAUGGCCAUGUUUGAAGACUUCCACAAAGGUAAUCUACCACUAUAUUGUUUAAACUUUGGGAUAAUAACUCUAAUCCCAAAACUCCAGGAAGUGAAAAUGAUCCAACAGUAUAGACCAAUAUGUAUGUUAAAUGUCAGUUUCAAAAUCUUCACAAAAGUGAUGGCCAAUAGGUUUUCUCUGGUGGCUGAAAAAGUCAUCAGGCCAUCACAGACUGCUUUUAUGCCUGGGAGGUACAUAAUGGAAGGGGUAGUAGUACUUCAUGAAACUAUACAUAAGUUAAGCAGGAAAAAGCAAGAUGGAAUCAUUCUCAAAUUGGACUUUGAGAAAGCCUAUGAUAAGGUUAAUUGGUCUUUUCUUCAACAGGCAUUAAGAAUGAAAGGCUUCUCCUCAAAAUGGUGUGAGUGGAUAGAAAGUAUAGUCAGUAAGGGAAGUGUGGGGGUAAAGGUAAAUGAUGAUAUUGGACAUUUCUUCCAGACAAAAAAAGGUCUUAGACAGGGUGAUCCCUUAUCGCCAAUGCUAUUUAAUAUAGCAGCAGACAUGUUGGCUGUUCUUAUUGCUAGAGCAAAACAUAGCAACCAAAUAAAGGGCCUAGUGCCACAUCUCGUAGAUGAAGGAUUAUCUAUCCUCCAGUACGCAGAUGACACAAUAAUCUUCAUGGAAAAUGAUUUAGAGCAGGCAAGAAACUUGAAAUUGGUGCUAAGUACCUUUGAAAAACUUUCAGGCCUCAAAAUCAAUUUCCAUAAGAGUGAAUUGUAUUGUUUUGGGGAGGCAAAAAACCAAGUUAAGGUUUAUGUAGAGAUAUUUGGGUGCAAGGAAGGAACACUACCAUUUAGAUAUCUUGGAAUUCCAAUGAUGCAUCGCAGAAUUGCAAAAAAGGAUUGGAAAAUGACUGAAGAAAGGUUCCAGAAAAAAUUAGCAAGCUGGAAGGGCAAAUUAAUGUCAGUGGGAGGCAGGUUAGUACUGAUAAAUUCUGUCCUCUCAAGUUUACCAAUAUUUAUGAUGUCCUUUUUUAGAAUACCUAAAGGUGUUCUUAAAAGAUUGGAUUAUUAUAGAUCUAGAUUCUUCUGGCAAAGUGAUGAACACAAAAAGAAAUUUAGGUUGACCAAAUGGAGUAUCCUUUGUGCACCUAAGAAUGUAGGAGGUUUGGGUAUCUCCAAUGUGGAGGUUCUAAAUAGGUGCUUGCUAAGCAAGUGGUUUUUUAAACUUCUAAAUGAGGAGGGAGUAUGGCAAACUUUGCUUAGAAAGAAAUAUUUGGUGAACAAGACUCUAACUCAAGUGACAAGGAAAAGGGGAGAUUCACACUUCUGGGCGGGCCUCAUGGAAAUAAAGGAUCAGUUCCUAUCAAUGGGAACAUUUGAGGUGCACAAUGGAGAAAAAACUAGGUUCUGGGAAGACGUUUGGAUGGGAAAGACAACUUUGAGGGAAAGAUAUGCAUCCCUGUAUAAUAUAGUGAGAAGGAAAGAUGACACCGUAGCCAAAGUACGUGGAUCUGCCCCUCUAAAUGUUUCUUUCAGAAGAGCAUUAACAGGGCACAGAUUGGAAGAAUGGCUAAAAUUAGUGGCUGAUAUUAUAAGUCAUGCUACAGACAGGCAGGAAGACAGAUUUAUUUGGAAUAUGAAUAAAAACAAAGUUUUCUCAGUGAAGUCAAUGUACAGAGAAAUAAUGCAAGCUGAAAGAACACCAUCCAUGUGUGUUGCUUGGAAGUUAAAACUUCCAUUAAAAAUAAAGAUCUUUUUAUGGUAUUUAAAGAAAGGGGUGAUUUUAACAAAGGACAACCUCACUAAAAGGAGAUGGCAGGGAAGUACCAAUUGUUGCUUCUGCAGAUCAAAAGAGACAGUGCAACAUCUCUUCUUUGAUUGUAAUCUUGCCAGAUUCAUAUGGAGUACGGUUUUCUUUUCGUUUGGAAUUCAACCACCGACGAGUGUUCCUUAUGCUGGGAUCUUGGGCUAGAGGGUUUCCUCGGAAGAUUAGAAACCAGAUGAUUAUAGGAGCUGGUGCUCUUUGUUGGGCCAUGUGGUUGAACAGAAACGAUGUACUGUUCAAAGGCACGAUCACUAAUUCCUUCUUGCAGGUAAUCUUCAGAGGGACCUAUUGGACAAGAACAUGGGCGGUGCUAUCAAUGGAGGAAGAGAAAAAUGAAAUGAAGAACAACUGUAGCAGGCUCGAAGGCACUGCCUUGGAAUUCUUCUCCAAUAAGUAUGGCUGGAACUUCAGACGAAGAAUACUUCAGUAACAGGAUUUCAUCUAGGCACCGGAGAAGAUCUUAGAGUCCUAUCUAGUGCUUAGGAGUCGUGUUAGUGUUCCUGUCUUUGGAGUGAACUGUGAGUCUUCAAGGGUAGUACUGCUAGAACAGCCUAAGUGUUGAGUUUCUGUAUUUGUGGUGUUAGUUUGGCUGCAGGCAUCCACUCGUGGAUGACCGAGGCCGGAUUCUUUCCUUUAUCUAAAAAAAAAAGAACUGAGGCGUUCAUUGCGUCGGUCCGACUGGCACUACAAGCUCCCCUUGCUGCGGGGCCCCCUAAGCCCACCGCUCCUCCUCCGGCACAGACGCCAAGACGGAGUACAAGGCUGGCAACUAACGCGCUAAACUCUGCGAUCCGUCCAUCCAAGAAGGGGGAACUUCUGACCAUGAAAAAACUCGGCAUCUUAACCCAAGAGCACCAAACUACCUCAGCAGCUGACAAAGAUUUCAACAAAUUCUUGACCACGACAAUGAAGCCGUGCCAUUUUGCGGCAUUCAGGGACAUCUUCCCGGCGGCCAAUAACCUCUCGAUUGGGAAAUGAAGUUCCCUUUUGCCUUCCUUCAGACGCUCUCCUCUGAUAUUUCAGACCAUUGCCCCCUACUGCUAACCACCAACUCAAACUUUUCGGUCAAAAGACGCUUCCAUUUUUAGAUUUGGUGGCUCAAGUUGCCUGGCUACUUGGAAACUGUCGCACAGGGUUGGGUGUGCCCAUCGCACAUCUCUGAUCCUUUCACAAAACUUGACAUGAAGCUUAAAAACACUGCUAGAAAGCUUCAGAGCUGGAGGGGAAUGCAAACACAAGACUUUUCCAUUUGCAAUGUGGCCACAGGGCCAAAAAGAAAUUUAUUGCAAGGCUUGAGCAUGAGGGAGGUGUGGCAAUCUCACAUGAGGAAAAAGAGCAGGUUUUGUUCAGCCACUUGUCUGCUAUUUUGGGCACUGCUAUGCAAAGAGUUGAGAUAGUGAAUUUAUCUGUGUUGGGUUUCACGGCGAGAAACUAAAGCCACCUGGAGGUUCCUUUCAUCGAAGAGGAAAUUUGGAAUGCAAUCUGGAAUCUUCCAAAUGAAAAAGUGCCCGGCCCAGAUGGCUUCAUCGCUGAGUUCUAUAAGACAGCCUGGUCAAUCAUCAAAACUGAUGUGCUGGCGGCCUUUGAUGCAUUCUAUAGGAACAUAGUGGCACAACUGCAUAAACUCAAUGGAGCCUUGAUCACCUUAUUGCCCAAGAGGCAGGAUGCCAAAAUACGAGGAGAUUAUAGACCAAUCAGUCUCAUCCACAGUUUCGGGAAGCUCCUGGCAAAGCUGUUAUCAAACAGAUUAGCACCUGAACUCAGCGCUUUGAUAGAUGUCAACCAGAGUGCUUUCAUUAAGCAGAGAUCUAUCCAUGACAAUUUUAAAUUCGUUGAAUAGGCUGCUAGAACCUUACAUAGGAAAAAGAAGCCUACACUACUGAUCAAACUUGAUAUCUCCAAAGCCUUUGACAGUGUCUGCUGGCCUUUCCUGUUGCAGCUGUUGCAAGCCAUGGGGUUUGGUUUAAAGUGGAGAAAUUGGAUGGCAACCCUGGUUUCCUCAGGUACAACAAGAAUAUUGCUCAAUGGUUCUCCAGGGCCGGUGAUUCAUAAUGCAAGAGGCUUAAGACAAGGGGAUCCCUUGUCCCCAAUGCUCUUCAUUCUCACAAUUGAGGUGCUCCACAGGCUCCUGAGGAAAGCAGUGCAGAAUGGUGUCCUCAAACCUCCGACUGAUUCUGCAAUACAUCAUCAGUGCUCCAUUUAUGCGGAUGAUGUAGUGUUGUUUGCUGCCCCUGAGGUUCAGGACAUCACAACCAUAAGAGAAACUCUUAAUUUCUUCGGCAGCACAUCAGGUUUACACACCAACCUGCACAAGAGCUUAAUAGCUCCCAUAGCUUGCAAUGCUGAGCAAGUUCAGAACAUCCAGGGCAUCUUGCCAGCUCAGAUCGCUGUGUUCCCCAUCCAAUACUUAGGAUUGCCCCUAUCAGUUACCAGGCUCAAGAAGUCGCACUUUCAGUCCUUAAUUGACAAAGUUGCAGCAAGUAUUCCGACAUGGAAGGCUCCGUUGAUGAACAAAGCAGGCAGGCUCACCACUGUAAAAGCAGUUAUGAGUGGAACUGUUGGAAUAAAGUGGCUAAAAAACAUUCCAGAUUUUAUUUGGAGGAAAAACACAUAGAUGAAAAUUAACGCAAGCAUACAACACAUGUAAACAGUCAGCAUAUUGACUAGAACAAGGUGUUGCAGGGACAUUACUCAAUAAUUCCGCAUAGAACGUAGUCGAACGUGUUGUAGGUGUUGCAGAGUCACCAAGCGGUCGCGUGUAGAUGCUGCCCAAAAACCUAAUUGUCGCCCCGUGCAGGAGUCUCGCGGCAGUGGUUUCGGAGAUCCCGUGCAGGACGUCUCCUGGUGUUAUAGACUCAAUACAACAUAAGUUUCCCCCAUCAAACAGCCUCAUAAAUUAGUAGUCACAAGUCACAAGUCACGCGAUUUUUCACGCAAAAAUGUGCGUGCGUGUAGCAACAGGCUCCUCUCUCUCUCACUUGCACCUUUUUUGCAUAAAGAGAAGACCCCCAUAUUUAAGCAAAGUAACCUCUCCUUGAAUUAACAAUAUGGGACUAAAGGUUGUGCAUGCUUUGGAAUUUUCAGAUUAGGCCAUGUAUGGGCCAAAAUCCAACAGGAACAUCAAAGGAGAGUAUUCAGCGAAAUCGGCAUAUCGUUUCUUCUUCAGAACUGCCGUCAGAUGCAGUCAGAUUCGCUGCAGCUAAGCUGAUUUGGAAAGUAUGGGUUCCUCUCAAAAUUAAGUUCUUCAUGUGGUUGGCUAUCAAGAACAGGUUGUGGACGGCAGCGAGGAGGCAAAAACGUGGACUGCAAGACCAGGCUGAUUGUGUGCUUUGUGAUCAAGAGUUAGAGACGGCAAAUCACCUGCUAUCCAGAUGCUCCUACACUCUCCAGGUGUGGCAACAUAUCAGCGCUUCAAUGAACUUGCUGAAUAUUGCUCCAACACAAAAUCAGUCCCUCCUUGACUGGUGGCUGCAAAAAAGGGAAGGAUUCAAUGCCUGCAACCGAGCGUUCGGCCGCUCGCAGGCAGAGUGUGGAGCGCCUAGUCUAGGAGAUCACAACUGAAGGGGACCUCUAGUGCGCGGCAGGCGCCAAACACCUGGCAGCACUUGGCUGGCCAGGGACAGCAGGGUUGCCUAUCUCAUAGAGGAUCUACUCUUCUCUAUCCAUUCGUUGUAAGAGUUUCAUGUAAUAGCUGUUAAUGUAAGCUUAAACCGUAUGCGUGCACCCGGCAGGCCAUGUUGUAUGUCUUUUUUCUGCUUAAUACAAAGAUUCGCAGCUCUCCUGCGUGUUCACGAAAAAAAUGAAUACAUACUUGUAUGAGCAUUGCAUUGUAAAAUGUACCAAAGUGCAGUCACUGCCUUCUUCUCACAAACAAACAAUACUCGAUAAACACAUAAAGUCAUUCGCUCAUGAUGCUGUUCAACAAAAAACAAAGCUUUGAACACAUUCAUACAAGGUAAAGUCGAACAAACCAAACCACUUAGAAAACAUGAUAAAAUCCAGAAUUGGACCGAACUAAUUGCUGACAUGACUUGAUAGUAGAUGACAUAAAUAUGGAUGAGGAUGUGUUGACACUUUUUUGAGCCAACACACGAACGCACACGAUCGUGCGGUGCACGGAGGGGCUCGCGGCAGCACCUCGACGCAGGCCGGUCUAACCGGUUAUAGGGAUUGGUCUGACCGGUUGUUGGGUAGGUCGACGGUAGACCUUCGAACGUUCACCCGGGAAGGAUCCCGUCGGGGGCAGGCGCAUACAGGGUUGCUCUAGGAUCGGCAGGCCACCUAGAGCGCCUUCAAACCUCGUCGAGACGAAGGAAGAACAGCAAGUGGUAGAUUGGAAAAGCUAGGGCAAAAGAAUAAAGGAAAAAAAAUGAUAAAUAAUAGAUUGGUUUAUGUCGACUAGGUUGGAUGUCCUCAACCGGUCGAAUCCCUUUAUAUUUAUAGGGAGGGAAGGUCUUCCCCACGUAGAAGUCGAAAUCCUAAUACAAAUCGUGCCAAAUUACAACUCCUACUCGGAUUACAUAGAGCCAGACUGGUCAGACCGGCCUGGGCAACCGGUCUGACUGGUCUGCUCGGGUGCAGAUUUUGCCAAGAUCGUAUCUCCCUCAUCCGAACUCCAAAUCGGACGUUUUAUAUAUGAAUCUUGAUCUACUCGACAAGAUCUACACAAUGGUAGAGUCCAAUCUUCAUUUGGAGUACUUUGAUCCAACCAGUCUGACUGAUGGGUCAACCGGUCUGACUUGUCUGCACAGGGUGCUGAUUUUUUCGAGGGCAUAACUCUCUCAUCCGAAGUCCAAAUCGGACGUUCCAUAUAUGCAUUUUGAUCGUCUCGAUGACAGCUACACCAUGGUGAAGUAAAAUUUGCAUUUUGAGAACAUUCACCAAACCGGUCUGACCGGUUGGAAGACCGGUCUGAACAGGCCUGACCAGAUUUUCCAAGUCCUACCACUUUUGGGCUCCAACAGGAUGUGUCUACAGUAAUUUAAUAAUACUAACAACUAGAAUCAAAGGAUACAUAUCAACUGCAAAAUCAUAAGCAAGGCACACUCUAUGUUUCCAUUUGGGCUUAUUCUAUAGCAAAUCUAUGUAAACUACUUAAGUAUUCACAGCAGGCUGAGUAGCAGGGUCCAGCUUUCUCUGCUCCUAAAUUUUCCUGAGCUUAAUACCCUUACCCUUGGGGAGACUCACCCAUGGUUUGUUCCCCUUGCCAAUUGUGAGCACAUUGCCCAAAUAGGUGGCAAAGGCAUGUGUUAGAAUGUGUGUAAUUGGGCCCAGCCCGGCUAGGCCCAUGCGCAUGGCUCCCCCUGACAGGCGCUUGUUGCGCCAGAUCAGGAGCCAGCCACCAGGGCUUUCUUGUCCCUUGCCUAUAUAUGUGUACGCUAUGCACCUCCAUAAUCAAUCUACAAUUUCCUAGCCAUAUUUGCUUUCAUGGUAUCACGAGUCCGGGUUCCUACCCCGAUUUAGCUUCCGCUUUUCUAGCACAUGCCGUCACUAUGGCUGGCUCCACGUACCCUGUCGCUGAUCCAGUCGCUACAUCGCCCACGGCAGAGGAGCAACACCUCGCCGAGGAGGCCUAGCGGCAGGCUGCCCGCACUGCCACCCUCGCCCACGCUGUCCAGGCUGGGCAGCUGGCGGCUACCGCGGCUCAGGAACGCGACGCCGCUGAUGCCCACCUCCGCGACGCCCUGGCCCUUGCUGUCGAGGAGCGCGCUGCCGCUAAGGCCGCUGAUCCACCACCCAGCAUUCACCCUGACAACGAUGACGAUGACCACAAGAAUCAUGUCGUCCCCUUUGUCCACGACGCCAUGCUGCUCCACGAGGUCGCCGCCGUCCUGAACCUGCACGCCCAGCCUGUUGCACUUUAGAACAUCUGCAGCCUCAUCCCGAUCAUCCUCGACGUCGCCUCCACCAACUACGCCCGCUGGCGCGAGCAAUUUCUGCUCACCGUCGAGAAGUUCUCCCUCGACGCCCACGUGCUUCAGGACAGUCCUCUCCCCGGUCACCCUGACUAGGCGCGGAUGGAUUGCGUCGUUCGGUCUUGGAUCUACGGCACCCUCUCCAACGACCUCACCGACACCGUGAUGACGCCUGGCGCCACUACCCGCUCCGUCUAGCUUGCCGUCGAGUCUCAGUUCCUCGGCAACCACGACACACGCGCCCUCCUCCUUGAUGCCCAGUUUUGCACCUUCGUCUAGGGUGAUCUAUCCAUCACUGACUACUGCCGCCGUCUGAAGGCCAUGGCUGAUGCCGGCGAGCUCGGUGAGCCUGUCACUUACCGAUCCCUCAUCCUCAACGUCAUCCGCGGCCUCAACUCCAAGUACGCCACCAUCGGUCUUCACCUUCGUCGUGCUCGCCCGUUCUCAAUGUUCCUGGAGGCUCGGAAUGAUCUGCUGCUCGAGGAACUCACCUUCACGUAGCCGUCCUCGGAGCCCUCCACCGCUCUUCUCGCUGCUACCCCGAGCGCCUCCACAUCAGCCCGGCCGCCCCAGGCCUCGCAGUAGCCCCAUUCUGGGGGUGGCUCCUCCAAGACUCGUCACAACAAACGUAACUCCGGUAGCUGCAACUCCAAGGGUGGCAACUCCGGCAGCGGUAGUAACAGCGUCGGUGUCAGCCAACGCCCCUCCAGCGGCACCAAGCAGGGCGCCCCCCAGGGCCCCUCCAACGUCACUCCCUAGCUCUCCUUCCAGAACCCGUGGACUGGGGCCAUCCAGAUGUGGCCCGGUACAUGCGCUCCGCAGCCCGGGGCACCCCACGCCAUGCUGGCCCAGUUCUCCAUGCCACGCUAGCCCAGCAGGCGCAGCUCCAGGCACUCCAGGUAGCCCAGUUCCAGGCUGCCCAGCUGUAGGCUGCCCAAUUGCAGGCGGCCCAGGCGCAGGCUCAGGCAUACUAGGCCGCCUAGGCAUAGGCUCUACAGCAGGUGCCGUACCAGCUCUCCAUCGCCGGCACCGCCACCAGCACACCAUCGUGGGAUUAGCAAUCCCUCGCCUCCACCUUCAACACUAUGACGCUAAACCAGCCGCAGCAGCACAAGUGGUACUUCGAUUCAGGUGCUACCUCCCACAUGACCUCCGAUGCUCAUUCCUUCUCGCAUAAUUUCACCCAGCGGUACCCUUUUCCAUCAGCUAUUGUUGUCGGUGACAGUUCUUUACUUCUUGUCACCUCCACUAGCGCAGAUGUUCAUCCGGGUCCUUAACAUCUUAAUAAUGUUCUUGUUUUACCCAACCUUAUUAAGAAUCUUAUUUCCAUUCGCCAAUUUACCAUCGAUAACAAUUGCUCAGUUGAAUUUGAUUUGUCUGGUUGUUCUGUGAAGGAUCUUCGAUCCAGGAAUGUGAUUGUCAGGUGCAAUAGUUCGGGUCCGCUAUACCCCCUGCACCUCCCUGCUGCUGCUACUCUUACUGCUGGCGUCACCUCCACGGUCUGGCACCAUCGUCUCGGCCAUCCUAGGCAGGAAGCCCUCGCCCGUCUUGCGCUAAUUUUACCUUCAUGUAAUAAAGACAUUAGCUCAUCUCUCUGCCAUGCAUGUCAGCUCGAACUACACACUCGUCUUCCCUUUCGAGUGUCCUCCUCUUGAGCUUCCAGGAAUUUUGAUCUUAUUCAUUGUGAUCUCUGGACAUCACCUAUUCCUAGCAUCUCAGGUUUUAAAUAUUAUUUAAUUGUUCUCAAUGCUUGCUCUCACUUUUCUAGAACUUUUCCUCUAAGGCUGAAAUCUGACACAUUUGAUACUCUUGCUAAUUUCUUUUCCUACGUGCUUACACAGUUCGGCGCCACCAUUAAGGUCGUCCAGUGCGAGAACGGUCAUGAGUUUGACAACUCUAGCGCUCGCACGUUCUUCCUCUCCCGUGGCGUCCACUUCUGGUGGUAUGCUCUGAUGCUGAUUGGGCGGGCUAUCCUGACACACGCAAAUCCACUUCCGGUUAUGUGGUCUUCCUCGGCGACAACCUGAUCUCUUGGUCCUCAAAGCGUCAGCCCACCGUCUCGCCAAAGCUGAGUACCGUGUUGUGGCCAAUGCCGUCGCCGAAGCUACCUGGCUAUGCCAGCUACUUCAAGAGCUCCAUGCCCCCACUUCACCGCACCUCCUUGGUCUAUUGCGACAACAUCAACGCGGUCUACAUGUCCUCCAAUCUGGUUCAGCAUCAGCACACCAAACAUAUCGAGAUCGAUCUUCACUUCAUUCAGGAGCGCGUCGCUGUGGGUGACGUUCGUGUACUACAUGUUCCCACAUCGUCCUAAUACGCCGAUGUCUUCACCAAGGGGUUGUCGUCUUCUAUUUUUACAGAAUUUAGGUCCAGUCUAAACAUUCGUGGCACCAGCGAUUAGACUGCAGGGGCGUGUUAGAAUGUGUGUAAUUGGACCCUAGCCCGGCUAGGCCCAUGCGCAUGGCUCCCCCUGAUAGGCGCCUAUUGUGCCAGAUCAAGAGCUAGCCGCCAGGGUUUUCUCGUAGAAUAGGUAAGGCUCCUAACCCUAGGACCCUUGUCUAUAUAUGUGUACGUGCUAUGCACCUCCGUAAUCAAUCUAUAAUUUCCUAGUCAUAUUUGCUUUCAGCAAGACCAAGGCAUCCUCCACAUGGAGGAUCUCAUAAUUGCCCUUGUGCUUCUCCCUAUUCUUUUAUUAUAGCAACCUGACCAGUCUAGUGACCGUGACAACAUUACCCACAUCAAACUUGAUGAAAUCAACAAUCUUACCUGUCUCCGGAUCAAUUUUGAUUGUGUCAUUCACUCAUUUGCCUUUGGCCUGUUUAUUUCUGCAGGACCGUGCAGUGUGGCAGCAGGGAUGACGCCCGGGUGCGCGGAGCCCCGGUGGUGGGAUCGACGACAAGGGUGCGCGUGCGGGGCGGUCGCCCCGACCUGGUGCUGGUGGCUGCCUGUGCAUCACCGACACUUGGUGGCUCUACAUCCAGGUGGCUUUGCGUUUCGUGCGGCUGUACAAUUCUAUAAAUACAAAAGUCUCUCUACAUGUACAAUUUGAUCACUACACAAAAUAUCUCUACACUACCUGAUCACUACAAUACACCGAAGCGACAACACCUAUCGUUCUGGUAGGUGAAGUUGCAACCAAGUGUUAGGUGAAGAUAGAAUAAUUAGCUGAAAAAAAAUCAGUUUUACAACAGGCAUCAAAGGGGAAGAGCAAUAUCAUUUCAGUCAAUAGUAUAAACAAUAUGCUUUACAAUAAGUAUUUUAUAAUACAGGUAAUCUAAUAAAAUCAAGUUUGUGUUCAAAAAAUAUAUAUAGUCGACUUGUCCAUCCGUAUCUCCAUGUUAUCUUGUUAGUUGGCUCUGAACGUCCAAAAAGAAUGCCAAUUGGUGAGCUGCUGAGGUCAAUUAUAACAUGCUAGACCUAUUGGUACGUCAAUAAAAUCACUAAACUGCUUUGACUAGGUAAAAGGGGUUAAUUUGUCUGGUUUUAAGAGAUGUUAGAUGUGUGUUGUCUAGUAUUCGAGCUCAAGAUUUUUCUUACUCUUCCCUUCCUUCCUCCUUCAAACCUCUCAUCCGAGCCCAAUCUCUCGCAUGGAGCCCGACUCCUCUUAGACCUCCUUUGGAAUAUAGGAUACAUGUAGAAAUUUUGUAGGAUUUGAAUUCUAUAGGAAUUUUUCUCAUGUGUCCCUUUGGAACAAAGGAUUGGCUAACCUUUUAAUCCUUCAAAAUUCAUAUGGAAUGGUUUAAUCCAUAGGAAUUUUGGAGAAAAUCUAACAUGAGGUCUAACCUCUUGGAAACUCUUCUUUGUGUCUAUCUCUCUUCUCGUUUCUUUGUUUUUCCUACGUUGCAUCCAAACACACAAUUACAAAUUUUUCUACAUUAUCAAUUUUUAUAGGAUUGCAAAUAUCACGUAACUCCGUUCCUACGUUUUUCCUAUUCCCACGUUUGGAGAUUCCUUUUUAAAGAUGUCCUUAGCUUUCUAUUUUAGGCCUUGUUUAGUUCCCAAUUUAGGAGUGGCAAAAUUGGCAUUUUGCCAUAAAUGCGCAAUGUAGUAUUUUGUUUGUAUUUGUGAAUUAUUAUCCAAACAUUGGCUAAUUAGGCUCAAAAGAUUCGUCUCGCAAAGUACAAUAAAAAUGUGCAAUUAGUUUUUGAUUUUAUCUAUAUUUAGUACUCCAUACAUGUACCGCAAGUUUGAUGUGAUGGGGAAUCUUUUUUUACAUAGUGUUAAAGUUGGGAUUUUGGAGGGAAGUAAAGAAGGGCUUAUUUGUUAUAUGAUUGAUCGUAUGUGACAGUGACCGUGCAACACCUGCAACGUUGAGGUACGUGACAAGGCCACACAUGCAUAUGCCAGCUCAUUGGCUCGCCCUAAUCAGGCACUACCGUCCACAGAAGUCUGAACAACGGGCGUGAACCAGGCUGUACCCUCGUGGUCAUUGUAGAAUGCACAUGGAAAGCCGUGAUGAUAUUAUUUUCUAUUAAAGCCGUAAUGAUCAGGGCUUUCGAUGAUAUUACUCAAAUUUAAAGCCGUAAUGAUGCUGUCGACGAUACUACCGUCCACAGAAGUGGCGCCGGAAGUCCUCGCACGCUGACAACGCAACACUGUUGUUAGUACUGCCAUGGGACCUACUAGUGACAAGGCAGCACAUGCAUGUAGACCCGCUGUUGUUGACGGCUCUCCCUCAGCAAGGACGCUGGGAGCAAUAAUGAGGCCACAUCUGCUUCAUCAUGAUCCUUCGCCGAUUAUUGUUUCAGUCCUUUUGCUUCGCUGUACCUAUAGACCAGUAAUGCUGGACUGAAUCAUGAUUUGAGACCUAAUCCCUUCGUUAAUCUUCUGUAAAGCAGCACAUGUGUAAAGCCUACACGACGAUGUUUUUUCCCCCUCCUGUUUCGCUUUCGCCAUUUGACGAGAUCAACGAAAUUCAUCCGCAACAUCCAUGCAUGAUGAUGAAAUUUGGAGCCUUCUUGACAUGACUUCACCUCCAACUCCCAACUUUGGCACUAUGCAAAAAGAAGAUUCCUCAUCACAUCAAACUUGCGAUACAUGCAUGGAGUACUAAAUGUAGAUGAAAUUAAAAACUAAUUGCACAGUUUUGUUACUUUGCGAGACGAAUCUAUUGAGCCUAAUUAGUCAAUGUUUGACAAUAAUUCAUAAAUACAAACGAAACGCUACAGUAUGCUACAGUGCCAGCACAGUAAUUUAGCACCUCCCAAUUUGGCCAACUAAACAAGGAUUGUGACUCGUGCAGCUGGUACAGAGAGUGACUGAUUCCUGCAUUCUAUUAUUGCCUCUUGAAUAUUCCGUGGCUGUUCAACUGUGUUGUGACGGUGAACAUGAAAAUUGCUUUUUAUAUUUAUGUAUUUUCGUUUGCAAUUUGGGCUUUAUUGAGCUUUUCUAUUUGUUAUGUCCUCAAACUUAAAAUCUUUUUUUUUCUAACAGCGCACAUGAUAUAUCAAUGAUCUUACUGUCUUGCUUCGGAUUAGCAACCUGGUAAUCAUGAAUUAAUUAGACUUAAUAGAUUCGUCUCGCGAAUUAAUUAGCUGCAAUUGGCUUUGUAAUUAGUCUAAAUGUUUAAUACUCCUAAUUAGUAUCUAAACAUUCGAUGUGAUAGGAGCUAAAUUUUAGCUCGAGGAACCGAGCAAAUCCUGCAAUUUUGAAAAGGUGAGGCACUAGUUAAAUUUUAACACGUUAAUAAUUUUAUAAAAUAAAUUCAAGAGACCUUGUCGACGAAAUAAAAGUGGUAGGUACACCGUACACAUCAUUAUUGUCAAGUCAUCGGGCCCAUUUGUUUCGUUCACCAAGAGUCCAAUCGCUAUAAUUGGAGAGGAAGAAAUGGAAGAAUGUGACUCGACCAAUAGAUAAAUGGUAUCGCUUUUUCCCUGUGAGCGCAACCCAGGAAAUGCAAAAGGCUGCUCCAGAAUGCAGAACAUUUAUAUGGUCUUUGAACACACAUGGCUACCUGAACACUGUGCACCGGUAAACACGUUUGUUCAGUGAUCAAUCCAUCAUUAGCAUAACUAAACCAGGAUGUGACUAUUAAGUAGGAGUAUUACCUUAAGAUGUGAACAGAAACACUGCAGCUUCACAAGCACAGCCAACAGCAUCCACACCUGUCGUCAUCAGCUUAUAAAAAUAGCUUGGACUUGUCUAUCAUCUUCUGAUCCUUUGCUUAUUUUAUGGCUCCUGGUGUGAGCUGAGCACAAGUCUUCCAUGCUAGUCUUCUCCUUCUGCCAUUGCAAGUCUUGCAGAAACAUAUCCUCUUCUCCAUCUUCUCUUCCCGUACGCCGCCGGCCCCUCCGCUGCGACCGCUACUGCCCCGCCUCUGCUACUGCUGCUCUGUCAGCCUAGGCACCCAAGAAGGUCAGUGCUUGGCGGUUGUCUCCAUUUACCUCCAAAGCGCUUCCGCAGACCAUCCUCUUCUCCACUCCAAAGUGUCUUCUCAUUUCUCAGCGUGCGUUCUCGUGAGCUCUGACUGCUCCAAUGGCCGAGCUUGUGGGCAGCAUGGUGGUCGGGCCACUGCUGUCUCUGGUGAAGGAGAAGGCGUCCAGCUACCUCCUGGACCAGUACAAGGUCAUGGAGGGCAUGGAGGAGCAGCACAAGAAGCUCAAGGUCAUGCUGCCGGCCAUCCUGGAAAGGAUCACUGACGCAGAGAAGCAGGCAACCUCCAGAGAAGCAAUCAGACCCUGGCUUCAGGAGCUUAAGGUGGCGGCGUACGAGGCCAUCCAAGUCUUCGAUGAAUUCAACUAUGAGGCCCUCCGUCGUCAAGCCAAGAAAGAGGGGCGCUACAUCAAGCUCGGCAUGGAUGCAGUAAAACUCUUUCCCACUCACAACCGCAUCAUGUUCCAUUACAGGAUGGGCAACAAGCUUUGCAAGAUUGUGCGUGAUAUUGAUGCCCUUGUCAAGCAUAUGCACGACUUUGGGUUCGACAAACAGCCACAAGCGCAGGUUCAGAUAAAUUAUCUGCGUGAGAAUGACUCCACCAUGGUUGAUCCAGAGAUUGUCAGCAGAUCCAGAGAUGAAGAGAAGCAAAAGAUUGUUAGAAUGUUGGUCAAAGAACAAGCUAACAAUAAGGAUCCAAUGGUCGUUCCCAUUGUGGGGAUGGGUGGGUUGGGCAAGACCACCCUAGCUCAGCUCAUCUUUAAUGACCCUGAAGUGAAGAAGCAUUUCCACCAACUAAUGAAGUGGGUCUGCGUGUCAGAUGAUUUCGAUGUUUGUAACCUUGCCAACAAGAUCUGCAACGCUUCUGAGAGCAACCUGGAGAAUGCCUUGCAGAAGCUUCAGAGAGAACUCGCUGGAAAGAGGUACUUUUAGAAUUUAAUUUGAUGUUGAUUCACUCAUCUCAAACACGCACACUGGUUUUUUUUCCUCACACACGCUCAAAAUAUGUGCAUUACCCUUGAGAAUAACACGUAAUUGAAAGGAUAAGUAAAGCACAUGCAAACUACAUACACAAAAUUCAACUUCAAACUUAGAUCCGCAUACACUUUUAAUUGCUAGUGCUAGUGAACUUCGUACACUUGAAGAAACUAUGAAAAAUGUACACGCACACAUCAUGUCAAGUCGUACACAGAAGGCAACAUCCAACAUUUUUUUUAAUUAAGGAAAAACAUCCGAUCUUGAACAUUCACACGUGAAUAGAAAAUUUUAGGAUCAUUUGAUCAAAAAUUUUAAGUGAAUAGAUCUUCAAAAGGUUAGCAGGAAAAAAACAUUUCAUCUUUUUCUGCUCCCUCAACUCAUGCUAAGGAGCUGCAAAAGCUAACGACGCCUCUUGUUUUGAGGCCCCAGCAUUGAAAUCAAGAAGACAACAACGCCUCACCACUGGCAAGUUGCCCUCUAGAUAUGCACGGAACUUGCACAUCUCACAUACCAUUUACGCUUCCUCUGGUGGCAUUCACAUAACUUAAGAAAAAGACGUACACAAAUAGAAACGCACUAAUGACAUGAUUAUUUGUAACAGGUAUCUUCUUGUAUUGGACGACGUCUGGAAUAAGGAUGAUAACAAGUGGAACAAGCUGAAUGCUUGUCUUAAACAUGGUGAUGUUGGUAGCGCCAUACUAACGACAACCCGUGAUAAAGAAAUAGCUCAACUCAUGGGUAUAGAUAAAGAACAUGGCAUUGCACGUUUGGACAAUAAAUUCAUCAAGGAAAUUAUUGAGGCUAAAGCAUUCAUUUCGCAAGAGAGAAAACCAGCUGAUUUAGCUGGCUUGGUUGAUGACGUUGUUGAGAGAUGUGCAGGGUCUCCAUUGGCAGCGAAGGCACUAGGAUCUGUACUACGUGGCAAGACAACGGAAGAAUGGAAGGCUGUGCUUAGCAAAAGCAUCGCCCAUAACAAGGACGAUCAAAUCCUGCCUAUUCUCAAGCUCAGUUACGAUGACCUGCCAUCACACAUGAAGCAGUGCUUCGCUUUCUGUGCUGUGUUUCCCAAGGACCAUGAGAUUGACGUGGAAAUGCUGAUCCAACUAUGGAUGGCAAAUGACUUUAUUCCCGAACAAAAAGAUGCUCAUCAUGAAACAAUUGGUAAACAGAUUUUCAGUGAGCUGGUCUCAAAGUCAUUCUUUCAAGAUGUGAAGCAAGUCAAAGGGGAAAGAUAUGAUUCCGUGUAUUGGUAUUUCUCUACAAGUACAUGUAAAAUCCAUGAUCUUAUGCACGAUGUGGCACUUUCUGUCAUGGGCAAAGAAGUUGCUACCAUAACUGAGAAGCCAAAGCAGAGUGAUGAGUUUCUUCAGAACACUUGUCGUCAUAUAUUGUUAUCAUGUGAGAAGCCAGAGGCCGUUUUGAAUGAUUCUCUGAAUAUAAGGUCUCCAGCUAUGCAAACACUACUAUGUGGUCAGCGCAUAGGAAAUUCCCUGCAGCAUCUCGCAAAAUACAGCUCUCUGCGUGCAUUGGGACUUUGGCAGGAUAAGAGCACAAUCCUACUGAAACCAAAGCAGCUACAUCUCUUGAGGUAUCUUGAUAUCUCGGGUAGUGAUAUAGUGGCACUUCCGGAAGAUAUCAGCAUUUUGUACAAUCUGCAAACGCUGAAUGUUGCGCACUGUCGCAAACUUGGCCGGCUUCCAAAGGGAAUAAAGUACAUGACUGCCCUCCGUCACCUCUACACUCACGGAUGUAAGGAGUUGAAGCGCAUGCCACCAGAGGUUGGACAUCUCACUUCCCUGCAAACACUUACAAAUUUCGUAGUGGGUGCAGGCCCUGAUUGCAGUAGUAUUGCAGAGCUGCAGCAUUUAAACAACCUUGGUGGUCCACUACUGCUUAGUCAACUCGAAAAUGUGACAAAAGCAGCAGAUGCAAAACAGGCCAAUCUUGGAAAUAAAAAGGAGCUCAGGGCAUUGUCAUUAACGUGGACACGUAGUGAGGGGGAGAAACAACAUUGUCAUAAGGUGCUGGAGGGUCUGGAAGCUCCUCCUGGACUAGAGGCUCUGAGGUUAAAGUAUUACCAAGGAACCAGUUUCCCAACAUGGGUGGGUACGCGGCCAAAAAUGGUGGAGCUUCAUCUUUCUGACUGUAACAAGUCCAAUAAGCUUCCUCCACUUGAGAGUGUACCAGCUCUACAAGUUCUUCGUCUGGAAAGAUUGAAAAAGCUGGAAAGCUUGUGCAGUGGUGGUACAUUCUUUCACUUUCCUAAUCUGAAGGAGCUUACGCUGGAAGACCUGCCGGAAUUUGAUAGAUGGUGUGAAGUAAACUGGGUCCAAGGAGAACAGAUAAUGUUUCCUCAACUUGAGAAAUUGUUUAUUACAAAUUGUGGAAAGGUUACAGCAUUACCAGGGCCAGCACUUCUCGGAGGAUCGUGCUGUGGAGAUUACAAGGAGCAAGACGAGAGGAAGCUUUGGUCGGCAUUUCCAGUCCUGAAGGAACUCGAAUUAAAAUGCUUAGCAAAGUUUCAGAGGUGGGGGGGCGCUGCUGAAGCAACUCAAGGGCUGCAGAUAAUAUUUCCUCAGCUUGAAAGUUUAUCAAUUUACAGAUGUAAAGAGUUGACAGCACUGCCAGAGGGGCCUGAGCUCGGAGCAGCACCGAAGGUGCUAAAAUCACAAGACUUGGAGCUUGGGACAACAUUGUGUGGUGGAGAUUAUGGAAAGGCACGAUCAUCCUUUCCAGCACUGAAGGUACUAACAUUGUUUUGGUUGGACAACUUUCAGAGCUGGGAGGCAACGGAAGCAGAUCAAGGAGAUACAAUAUUUCCAAAUCUUGAAGAGUUAUCAAUCGAAAAGUGCCCCGAACUGGCAGCAUUACCAUCAGCUACAUCUCAGGGAGUAUCAUUUGACCAUAGUGGUGUUACAGCAUGGUCAACAUUCCCAAACUUAAAGAAGCUCCAGUUAUGUUACUUAGAUAGUUUUAAGAGCUUGGGGAUGACGGAAGAUCAGAGAUUCCCUGACCUUGAGACUCUGUUUGUUGAGAAAUGUCCCAAGUUGACAACUCUACCGAGGGUGAUAGAAGCACCAAAGCUCCGUGUAUUAGAAAUAUAUGGCAGCCAACUGACAGCAAUAAUUGUGCCUACAGUUAUUAACUCAUUGUCCGAACUGGUGUUAUCAGUCGAAGACACAGAAACUACUUUACCAACUGUGCAUGGUGCCUUUGAGCUGGUGGACGCCAAUAAUAAAUACCCUCUGACAGAUCUGGAGCUAAGCGGCUGCAACUUUCUGUUCCCCUCAAGUCCACUGGCACUAUGGACAUGUUUUGUCCAGCUCCAACGUUUGACAAUGAAGAUCAACCAUGCGCUUGUCUACUGGCCGGAAAAAGAGUUCCAGAGCUUGGUAUCCUUGAGGCACCUUACCAUUUGGAACUGCAGUGGUCUGAUUGGGUACGCGAAAGCUGCUCCUGGCCAACCAAUAUCAGAAAGGACCCAAGUUCUGCCCCGUCUCAAGUCUCUAGACAUACAGGAUUGUGGAAGUCUGGUAGAGGUCUUCAACGUCCCCGCAUCUCUCGAGACGAUGGAUUUGCGCCGCUGCCCCAAGCUUAAGUCCAUAUUCGGAGAGCAACAGGACGAGCCAACAUUCAAUCAAGGGCCCAGCGCUGCACCGAAGCUGUCAUCAUCGGCCCAGGAUCACUUACUACUUCCAUGUCUUGAAUAUCUAAGAAUAUGGCGGUGCGAAAGCUUGUCAGAGGUUCUCAACCUUCCCCCAUCCCUCAGGGAAAUACUUAUUCGUGAGUGUGGCAAACUCCAACUCCUAUCAGGCCAGCUGGAUGGACUCCGAACACUAGAUAUUUGGGGAUGCCCAGAGUUGAGAUCACUGGAAUCUUGCUUGGGAGAGUUUUCAACCCUGGAACGCCUCAGUCUGAAAGAUUGCAAAAGCCUGGCAUCCUUGCCCGAUGGGCCACAAGCAUACUCAUCUCUCCGUCAUCUUCAAAUUACAUCAUGUCCAGGUAUACAGUCGCUUCCUUCAUCCCUGAAGAAGAGACCGGACAACCUCAUUCGUAAAUAUUUGGAUGCUCGUUACGAAGGUACCCACCAAACUCAUUUGUCAUUUCACCAUAGUUUGAAUGCAUAAAUCUGCUCAUGCUUUCUAGAAAUAUAUAUACCAUUCGUCUUAAAGCAUCCAUGCAGUAGUUUGAAUGACGUGGUGUGAUUAUUUUUACAUUAGAGAAAGGUGCAGCACACGACCACAGAAUUUUGGUGCCUUGGUAUAAUCACGUCGAGUUGUAUUACUUAAAUUAUCCAUUUUGAAUUUCUGAAUAGAUAUGACUACUAAAGAAGCUGCUUAACGAGAAUGAUAUGUAAGGCAAAAUAGAUUAUCUUUGGUCCUCCACUUCUGUCUUCAGUUCAUCUUUAUUCUGUGAACUGCUACUAGUAUUUGCGUCUAUAGACUAUAGCUAGGUGUGAACUGUGCCCAGAAAUUAUUGACAAGGAAUAGUGGAAAGAACUCAGCAAUCACUAAAAAAGCAUGAAGAGUGUCCCACAUAGUUACUUUUCAUGCAGUUGUCGUGGUGGCUUGCUGGUUUCAGCACUUGCGCAAUACGAAAUUAAAAAAAAAACCAAGUGAUCCCUCCACACUUGGACAAUUAAGAACACGACUAUAGAUUGUUUUCAAUUUGCAUUGAACUGAUAUUUUUCUAUUUCCCUAAUGUUACACCCCAAAUAGAGAUGCCAAGUUGCCAACAAAGGUUUUUACUUGUCAAUUUAAUUGAAUUUUGUUGUCUAAAGGACAAAAUGCGGACUAAAUAAAAGGUCCCAGGAGCCUACUGUGUGGUACCAAUUAGAUUAAGUAUUUUAAUUCAUUUGCUUAUACUUCAAAAAAGUUUCAAUUGUUCAAAAAAUUUAGAUUAAGUAUUUCUAAUUCAUUUGCCAAUGAUACAGAUAAUGACCAGGAAGGAUAAACUCCUCGAGACCGAAGUUUUCAGGGGAAUACAAGAACAACUAUAUGGACGAGGUCACAAUUCCUGCGAGGGAGUUUUAUAAUGACCGAUCAAAUCUGAUGCACCCUAAGGAGUUGGUUUCGGAAUAAUAAAUACGAUAUGUGUAUGCACAAUAUGUCUAUAUAUGUGUAAUAUUAUUCAUAUAUGGGUAUACAUAAUACGUAUGAAUGAAGUACAAGCAAUAUAUAUAUAUAUUAGUAUCUCAAAUGUUAUAUUAAAGAUAAAUAUAUAUUAGCGUAUUAGAACUACUAUACGUAAAGGAAACAAAUAUGAAAUGAGAAUAUAGAAUAAACAAAUAGAAAAUAAGGAACAAGGAUGAAAAUAAGGUUUCGUUGAACUAAUUUUUAAUAUAAAAACUUAAGUAUACGGUACAAAUACUAAAAAUUAGUUUGCAAUAUAUAUAGCUCAUAAAACAUAAAAAUAGUGUAACAAAAAAAGUAAAAACAAUAACCAUUAUGAUCAUCUCAAAUAAAAAUAUAAUGCUUCGGUGCUUUGUAAAAAUCCGACUUCGGGCAUUUCUUGAUGUAAAAUCUUCAAGAAAGGUAUCAAGAUUAAUGUUGUUCAAAACAUCAUUCGCAAUGCUGCACGUAGCCAAGCCAUUCAAUCUUUUUUAUGACAUAGUUGAUCUAAAAUAAUAUUAAUUAGAUAAUUGCUUUUUAACAAAAUUGAUGUAGAAGAAAACAAAGAUGGAAGCGCUCGCCUUUGACGUGCUCGGUGCUCCAAGCGAUCAAGACGUGCUCCACUGCUUCAGAAGGCAGAAGCAGCGCUCGGCAAUCCAACCCUGAUGCCUUGACGGUCUGAUGCGGCGCUCGGCGCUCCAGAGUCCAAACGCUGAGACGCAGGGCUCGCCUGAUCGCCUCCUGCAUCCGCUAAGGCGCUGACCCGCGCGAUGAGGCAACGAUCAGAUCGGUGGCGGGCGGCGGCAUGGAGCCAGGACUCAGGGGCGUAUACGACGCAGGCAUACGGAGAGUCGGAGACACAGAGUCAGGGCGUCAGGCGUCAGGACGCAAUUUUGCAGGCCUAGCUCGCUCUGAUCGCGUGAUGCUCUGAUCGAAUCGGAAUCCGCGACGGCAUGGGCAAGCAUAUUUGGCAGCCCUGGCAAGCAAUUUGGUAGGCCCAAAUUAGCACGGAUGGAAGACAGGCAGCAGUUGCACGUGCCAUUUAAAAAGGUCGAAACAAAAUGCACCAAUCAAAUUAUAUAUACUAACUAUCUGUAUGGCUCCAUCGGCUUCGUGGGCCCCGGGCGGUCGCACGGCCUGCCCUCCCCUAGAGCCGGCCCUGCUGCCGACGAUGCCCAGCGGCGGGCGCUCACGACGGCCCAGACCGUCCUCGCCGCAGACGGACGCGUUCUUCGGCAAGGCUCGGCGACGAUACAGCAGCAGGUAGGCUGCCGGCGACCUCCGCCAUGUGGCUCCCGAGGUCGGAGACGACCGAGUCAGAUGUGCGUACAGGCGCUUCCUCUGCUUGGUGUCCCGGCUCGCCGGAGCGCCGCCUCGUUCCAGGCGCUGCCCGCCUACAUGUCCUUGCUCCCAGAACGACCAACGAUCGCGCUACGCGCGCCGAUGAGGCGAUGAACGGAUUGCACAGAGCCCCCCUUAUUGGUUCGGCUUCUCCUCCCUGGCGCUGGCCGCUGCCGUCAUCGCUGUGCUCCGUCCCGGCGGGGGAUUGCGAGGCCCAUCACGAAUCUCGAAUAUUGGAAGGUUAAAAAAAAAGUCUUGCGAAAGAGCUGCGGCCCACCUCGAGGUUUCCAGCCAAGCCAGCCCAAUGUAGAGAAGCCCAUCAGUUUAUUUCCAGCCGGCCGGCCCAGCAAUUCCAAACAUCAGCAGGGACAGAAAGAGAUGAUUUGUCCACCAACCAGUGGACUUGACUUGCUAGAUCAACCGAAUCUGACCUGACCUGCUGAUCAAAGUGAUGGAUGGAUGGAGCUACCGAUCCACCCACCCACUACUACUACGUAGCCAACCCUUCCUUUCUCGUCUACCCGGCCUGCCAUCAUUCUUUUUCCGGCGAUAUAUAUCACAGCACACGUAGUCCUCGUUCUUCCUCAUCGCUCGUCGUCACCACACGUGUAGGUCCAGCGCAUGCAGCCGGAUUGUUGAUCCAUUAUUCCACUGUACGGUAUUAAUGGCUGCCGAGCUCGCAAGGUCGUCGUCGACCCUCGUCGCCCUCGUCAGAGCGGCGGCGUUAUGGGCGUCCUUCGCGCUUCUGCCGAUCGGCGGACAUGGCAGCCGACACCGCCACGCAGCCGGCGUCGUCGUCGUCGGCGGCGGCGGCGCUGCCGACCGCGGCAGCUACAGGCAAGUAACGUGUCGCCGCGCCGCUGCGUCUAGACAUCUAGUGUUCACCGAUGACGACUAAAAUGUGGUGCCUACAUGCAUGCAGGUACGCCGGCGCCGACGGUGGACUCACCCGCAGCAGUCCCGACGUCCACUGUCGUCACUGCCACACCCGCCGCGGCGGCGCUGCUACCAUCCUCCUCCUCACCGCCUGCGACACCCGCGGCGUCUUCCGCCACCGCCACCACCGCCGCGGACACGGCGUCGAAGAAGUUUCCGCUGCCUCACCCCGGUGGCGGCGAGCCGUACAAUCCCGCGGCGGAGGUGGCGUCGGCGCUGCCGGUGCCGACGCCCGACGAGCUGCCCAGCGCGUCCAGCCUCGGGUUCGACGGCCACGGCCUCGGGUUCGGCGGGCCCGGCGACGUGUGCUGCGGCGGCGGCGGGUACGGCUGGUUCGGCGGGCCCGGCGGGUACGGCCCCGGAACGUACGGGUACACCGGCCCGCUCUACUGGGGGGCGGCGCCGGCGGGAGGGUGGGGGAGCGUGGCCGCGGCCAACGUCGUGGUGCCGCUCGUCGUGGCUUGCGUCUCUGCAGCCCUCGCUUAUUAGCAUGCAUGCAGUAUAUAAAUUACUUGUAAUUUUUACAGGGGAAUUAUUAAGGUUACUCUACAUGUUUACCGCGCCUUUGCGCGAGCAUAUAAUUUUCCUUGUACACGUUUGCACUUAUGCUAACCACAAUAAUAAUAUGAAGUGGGUACUGUGGUUAAAUUUGAGAUAUGAAUCAUACUAAGGGUCAGUUUGGUGUAGCUCCGUGGGACUCCGACUCCUCCUGACAUUUUCUUGCAGCAUCACUAUAGUAUAGCACAGAGCUUCUUUUCUUCCUCCUCUCCCUCCCUCUCAUAGGACUCCUCCAGCUGCGCGCUACAGGAGCUGAAGCCCAUAAGCCCGGUCAAAGCCGGUCAAACAAGGCCUAAAUUGAGCUCUAAUCUGGCAGCGUGUUUAUUUUUAUUUUUUAUUUGGCUUCCACUCUUGACACCACACGGGUCCAACCUUGUAGUAGAAUUCAAGAAGGCUGCGACAGUGCAUGUCAUAGAGAAGGACAUCAGUGUUUCUGUUUUAAUUACUUUGGACGGAAACACUACUACUACAUUUACGAGAACAUGAUAAUCAUUGCAAUUGCCAGAUUCCUCCAUCUUGUUUUACAUAAUUUCCCGAUACAUCCUAUGCCUAUCUAUUUUUUAUGCACGAUCAACUUUUAAUUUCCCCUGGCAAGCAACUUUUGGAUUCUGCAAUGCCCGUGGUGGCUUGUGCUGAAUAAUUUUUAAAGCACGGGAUGUGUAUCUUCUGAUCUGAUGCGUCAAUACUAGCUUUUUGUACGUAGUUGGAACGUAGUGGAUUAGAUUAUUCUCUUCCUAUCUCAUCCAGGCCUAGCACAAAAAAGAAGAAUGGCAAGACUCAGACUACUGCUGAAUAAUGCAUACGGUGUAUUCUAUGGUAUAUAUAGGGAUGUAAGCUAGCAGAGUCAUGUACACAAGCUCCUUGUGGGCCAGGAAACACCGUGCAUCCCACUCAAUGAAAGUGGGCCAGGGAUCUCUCUCUCUCUCUCUCUCUCUCUCUCUCUCUCUCAUGUUGUUCUUAUACAUAUUUAUUCACAAGUUCAACAUCUAAGUUCUCAAUCCUAAUAAAUGAAACUACAAUGGAAAAAUAGAAACUAUAUAUGCAGGGUUCCUUCUGAAUUUGCUAAAAGAGAGGUUGGUGUGUGAUUGAAAUCAGUAAUACUGACUUAACGCUAGAGGUGCUAAGGCACGAUCACGAAAAAAAACUUAACGGUAGAGGUGCUCUACCGACCGGCAACAUAUGCCGAUUUGGUAUUAUCUCAUGAGGUCACGAAUGCUAGAGGAAUUCAAAUAUAGGCAUGUGAGCAUUUACCAUGUAAGUUCAAACUAAAAUAAUUAAUGAUGGACCGAUUGAGAUUUUUCACACCAACAAUAAAAAACAAACGCAAAAUGGAAUCAUUGAUUUUACAAAUUGGUGUAGGAGUACGUAUGUUAGAGAUUUGUCAGUUGUAGGAAAAACAAUUGGGAAGUCCACGCUUAACGCAGAAAACGGGCCCAAUCUUCUAUUUUACACGAACCAUCAAAACUGUGGCUCAGCUCCACGAUUUCGUUUCACAGAAUUUCCCGAUACUUCCCAUGCCUAUCUAUUUCAUCUAUGAUCAAUAAUGCAACUUAAUUUUCAUGUCAAGCAGCUUUUGCAAUUUGGAUUCUAUGAGUCCGUCCUGGCUGGUACGGUGGUGCCUUGUGCUGAUUUUAGGCACGCUGUUGCAUGAUGCAUCUUCUGAUGUAGGGCAGGAUUCUAUAUAUGACUCAACUGCUGAAAAAUGCCUAUGGUGUACAUACAGUGGUAUAUACAGGGAUAUAGAAUAGUGCUUUAAAUUUAGAGUAUUGUGUAGUACAAGAUCCUUGUGAUAGGGUUGGAAAGCACUAGAUGGGAUGCACCUACUACUUGCUACUGCAUGGCACACCGUUAAUUUUUUUUUUGAAAGGAAAAGGGCACGAGAGUGUGCCUAUUUCAUUAAUAUAGGGGGGUUACAACCGGCGGACCGGGAAAAAGACGGGAAAGAGAGGAAAAGGAAAAAAGACGGGGAGGCAUCCAGAGAGUUGUGUUUACGAAAGAAGGGCCGCUAGGCCUCUCGCUCCCGCUGCUAGCCACAUGUUAGCUGUGGAUUUGAUUUUUGCCAUUAGUGAUGUCGUCGGGGAACCCUGGUGGCGGAAGAUUCGGGAGUUUUGCUCAUUCCAUAUUUCCCACAGGGUUAGGCUUCUGCUCGCUUUAUACGGGAUCCCUGUUGUUGAUGUGAUAUUGGUCCACCAAUCGAUGGCCCUUAUGCUGUGCUUCCAUUGAUCCGGUUGCAGGCUUUCAUGUGAUAACCGUUGGGCUACGAGCUUCCAAAUUUGCUUCGUAUAUCUGCAUUCGGCUAGGAGAUGAUGCGCAGUCUCCAUCGUGCAACGGCAUAGGGUGCAUGUUGGGGUGUGGUCCCAGCCCCGUUUUGCUAGUCUGUCCGAAGUCCAGACCCUAUUUUGGAGAAUUAGCCAGGCAAAAACUUUGCAUUUUGCCGGUGCCCAGGCUUGCCACACUGUUGCAAGGUUAGUCGUCUUGACGCUACCUAGGAGUUGAGCCUUGUAUGCUGAAGUUGUGGUGUACUGAUCGCUCUAGGUGAAUUUCCAUGUAAUUCCGUCCUCCUGGCUCGGAUUUAGUUGGCACUGUUGGAUCAGAGGCCAUAGGGUUACGAAUUCGUUCAAGAGGAUGUUUGUAAAGCCUGUUGUGUGUUGUAGAUCUCUGAUCCAGUUGUUGUUGUGGAAUGCCUCCCGCAUUGUCUUCUUUUUCCUUUUGGUUUUCGCGUAGAGUUGUGGAGCGAUGUCCUUUGGUCGCCAGCCUGCUACCCACGCAUCCUGCCAGAAACGUGUCUUGUCCCCAUUGCCGAUUUGGAUCGUCGUACAUGCAGCGAAAAGUAGUCUAUCCUGGUCGUCGCAUGGUGUUUCGGUUCCGACCCACGUCUUGUCUGGGGAAGCCCAUUCAUGCCAUAACCAUCUAAGGCGGAGCGCUCUUGCGAAUUUAUGAAGGUCUAGAAUUCCAACGCUGCCAUGCUCUUUCGGUAAAGUUGUCCUCGUCCAGUUGAUUUUGCAUUUGCCCCCGGUGAGUUCGUUGUCUCCCGCCCAUAGGAAGCGUUUUCUUAUUUUGUCGAUGUCCUCUAGUACUUCUUUGGGCGUUCUGAGGGCCGUUAGGGUGUAGACAGGUUGUGAGGAUAGGACGGACUUGGUGAGGCAUAAUCGGCCGGCCUGCGUGAGGUUUCUUCCCUUCCACUUUGAUAGUUUGCUCGCCACUUUGUCGAUCAGUGGCUGGAAAUCUAUGCGGCGUAGUCGUUCGACCGUUAGAGGGAGGCCCAGGUAUUUUAUCGGGAAAUUCCUCUGCGCUACUGGAAGGUUACGGAGCACUUCCUGAAAGUUAGCGUGAGAGCAGCUUAUCGGUGUGACGCUAGUUUUUUGGAUGUUCGUUCUGAGACCUGUCGCUUCCCCGAAAUUUUGUAGGAGGUUCUUCAAGUUUGUGAUGUCACGUGUAGAAGGCUUAAUGAAAAUCACCGCGUCAUUAGCAUACAUGGAUGUUCUCAUUCUUGAUGCACGGUUAUUUAGUUUUUGAAGUAGUCUCUUUUCCGUGGCGGCCGAUAGUAGAUACUGCAGUGGGUCGAUCGCUAGGAUGAAAAGUAGCGGUGAGAGGGGGUCGCCUUGUCGGAGUCCUCUCCCAUGUUGUAUGUGUUCCAGCGGGAAUCCAUUGAGUAAAAUUCGUGAUGUUGACGUGGUGAGGAUGGCCGCGAUCCAUUCUCUCCAUUUUGGUGGGAAUCCUCUGUGUUGCAUCAUGGUGAGUAGGUAGUCCCAUCGUACUGAGUCGAAAGCCUUGGAUAUAUCGAGCUUCAUAAGCAGGGUCGGUUGAUUGUGUAUGUGGAAUCGGCGUGCCAGGUUUUGGACGUAAAGGAAGUUAUCGUGAAUGCUUCGUCCCUUGAUGAAAGCACUUUGGCAAGGUGAGACUAGUUGGUUCAUGAAAGGAGCUAGGCGCAGGGCUAAGGUCUUUGUUAUGAUCUUCGCAAUGGCGUGGAUCAGGCUAAUGGGUCUGUAAUCUGCGAUGCUCUCCGCCCCUUCCUUUUUGGGUAUUAGAAUGAUUGUGGCUUUAUUCAGAAGGUUUAGAUCUGCACAGCGAGAGUUGAAGAAGGAAGAUAUUGCCGUCAUGAGGUCACCUUUGAUGGUCUCCCAACAGGUGGUGAAGAAGAGUCCUGUAUAGCCGUCUGGUCCGGGCGCUUUGUUUUUUGGCAUCUGUGAGACGGCCCGCCGGACCUCGUCUUCUGUGAACGGGUUAUCAAGCGUAGACAGAUCGACGGUCGGGAAAGUUAGAGCUGACCAGUUUAGGUCAAGCGUCCUGCGUGGCGGUUCCUGCAUAACCUUUUGGAAAUGGUCUUGUACGAUCUGUUGUUUGUCGUUAUGGGUAAAGACCCAGCCAUUGUCCUGACGUAGCUUUUGAAUGAAGUUUUUCCUCCUCCUGCCGUUUGCUUUAAGAUGGAAAAAUCUUGUGUUGGCAUCUCCUUCUUUUAGGUACGUGACUCUGGAGCAUUGCUUUUUCCUAGCUCUCUCUAUGACGGCCCAACCCAUGAGUCUCUGCUUCAGUUUGCCCCGUAGCUGCGUUUCCGCCGUAGAUAGUGCUCGGGUAUCCUGUGCCUUAUCUAGAUGUAGUAUCACCUCCUGAGCCAUGUGCAUCUUCAUUCUUGCGUCUGAUAGUAUUGAUCUGCUCCAGCGUUUUAACGCCUGCGACGUCACAUAAAGUUUAUGGCCCAACCUGUGGAAAGGCUCCGUAUGGUGUGUCGGUGUAUUCCAAGCCGUGGAGACUACCUGCUGGAAAUUUGGCAAUCGUACCCAGAAGUUUUUGAAUUUGAAAGUUGUAGGGCGGCGUAGGGUGGCAUGGCUGGUUAGUAGCAGAGGACAGUGGUCGGAGUGGGAUGAUGAUAACGCGUGUAGUAGGCAAUUAUCGAAUCGGAGGUCCCAGCUUUCGUUGCAGAAAACUCUGUCGAGACGGACGAGCGUUGGUGUCCUACGUUCAUUGCUCCAUGUGAAUCUUCUAUUUUGCAGGUUUAAUUCCUUUAAGCCGCAGUAAUUGAUGGUGUUUCUGAAACUGUUCAUAAGCCGCCGGUUGAGGUUCAUAUUGUUUUUAUCUCUUGCGCGGUAGAUUAAAUUGAAGUCCCCUAGGAUUAUCCAUUUGGUGUCGUCAGAUGGUUUUAGUGACCGCAUGUGUCUUAGGAAGGCUUCUUUUUCGAGUCGUCGCGCCGGGCCGUAUACCGUGGUCAUGCAAUGCCGAACUGUGAUCUCUGCCGAUAUGGAAUAUCUGCCAAUUUUUAUGUUUUGAAUUUGUACCGCCGUGUCAUUCCAUAGUAGGAGGAUCCCUCCUUUCGUGCCUAUCGCCAGUUUAUAUGCGAAGCUGUUUAAUUUGUAGGCGCCCAGAAAGGUGGCCAGGCUAGAGUCGAUGGAUUGUAGUUUAGUUUCUUGCAGGUAUGCAAUUUGGCACGGUAUCGAUCUCAUCAUAUUGUGUACGGAUAGGCAGCGUGCUGGCGCGUUUAGUCCUCGGACGUUCCACGAUAAAAUAUCUAGGUUGCCGUAUGUCAUAAUGCAGUGUUUAUGCUCAUGUGGUGUACGUCGCUGCGGUGAUUUGAUCGAUUUAAAUCGUCGGUGGUUAUGUAUAAGGCUCUGUUGGCGGUUGUUGUUGUUGUUAGGCGUGGCGUUAAAACGACGCGGGCAGCAGGCCCCCCUAGUUGUACGGCAGUUUGCAGGUUCGUGAUACAUAGGAUUGCCCGAAGGUCGAAGCCAGCAGGGCGUGGAAGGAUAAAAGCCCGAAGGUCGCAGCCAGCAGGGCUUUGCAGUACAGGUGGUGAUACAAACAAAAGAACGAAAGACAUGUAGUGACGGUAGACGCUCGAAGAUGUUGUCGCCGGUCUAAGCUGUGGGGUCCCCAUUAAUCAGCUGUAGCUCCGCCGCGGCCGUGCCUGCGUGGUUUAUGAGUGCUUCGCCUAUCAUGUCCGCACCUUCGUCGUCCAGUCCAAAGAUAGCUAUCAGGGCUGCCACUAUGCUCUCCGGGAGUGGUCCCUGGAACAUUGACAGGAAGUUGCGAAGGACCUCGUCAAUUGGAGUCAUCUUUUCGUUGGUUAGUCCCAGCUUUCUGCAUAAAUUUCUUUGCACCUUCUCGGUCACCGGCAUGGAUGGCUUCCUUGCAAGCCGCGCACUUCUCCGGACUGCCGUCAUGUCGAAAGUGCGGCGUUGACGUUGGCGACGCAGCCCCAGCUCCUGGAUCAACGGUGGAGGUGGAUUGCAGAAGAGAGAAUUAAUCUCUCUCAGAUCCUGCUCUCCCUCCCUCUGCCUGUUCGGUGGGCUCCCUUGGAUGUUCUGUGCAAUGAAGCCCAUGGCAUUGGGCCUAUCUUGGCGAGCUGUCCCCCCUACAGAAGUGGCCGCAUGGGCCGAGGACCCGACAGCGGGCGGCGAGAGUGGCCCAUGUACCGUCGGGCCAUCUUGUGGCGCCAUCCGGGCCGGCGUCGUCGGCGACCUGCCCGGUGUGGUGGAGCGGCCCACCGAGGGCCCCCCCCCACAGUCGGGCCCCCAGCGAAGGCAGCGCCCAGACCAGGCGAAGUGGGCCGGUGGCCCAGCUGUGGAGUCAUCUGUGCCGUUGGCUUAGAGGCCAGUGGCCCUUUCUCCAAGCCGGUGUCGCGGCCCACUGUGAACGUGGCCUGCUUGAUGCCGACGGUCAUGGCGUCGAGUGCCCGUUCGACGUCCGCCACCGUCGGCGAUGGCGGCGCCGGGAGGAGUGCCGCCCGCAGGGUGCUGAAGACUUGGGGCAGCGGGAUGGUUGCGGACCAGGCUUUUUCCCCGAAGGAUUCGUCGUCGAAGCCGAGGCAGUCGGCGAGCCCGGAGAUCUUGCGUGUGUAGUCGUCGGCGUCGAGUCCCCUGUUUCUGGCUUCCAGAGCAAAAACGUUAGUUGGUGCCGUUACCUGGUUGUGCUUCAUCAUCGCAGUCGCCUGAGCCUGGAACAGAGCUCGGAGUUGGGACGGGUUGUAGAUGCUCUGCUCCUGUGCGUCCAGGGCGUGGUGUCGUCCUUGCGGCGGCGCGUAGUUGCGGCGGGGCGGUGACCUGGUGCGGUCGCGGCGCCCUUUAUCCGCGCAGCCCCAGUAGGCGUCGCCGUAUUUGCGCCCGUGCCCUGGGUGGUUGUAGUCGCGGUGCUCGUCGUCGUCGUCCCCGCGCCGAGGCGGCCAGAUGAAGUCCCGUUUGCAGGUCAUUUGGUCCGCCCGGUGCUUAGUGCGGCUCCUGUCGACUUGGCGAGCGUGUCGUCCCCGCUCGUGCCCGCCGACAGCCGCGUCACCUUCGCCGGAGGCUCCGCGCCCGUCGCCAGCGACACUAGAGGCACCAUUCCUCCCAUGUCGCUGGUCAUCCGUCCUUCUGUCGCCGUGGUCGUCGUGGUCCCGUGGUUCAGGCUCCCGCGGCAGUCGCGGCAGCCUAGCCGGGAAACGUGAUCUCGCGUCCGGUGGGGUGCCAUCAACCAGACCAUAUCGCCAUUCAUACCGGUGACGAAUCGGAGUAAUGUUCUCCGGGUCGUUGAUGGCUUGCUGUAGAUUGCGCGCCGCCGCCGUGUAGUCCUCCAGGAGGGGCAUAUGGAUGAAUACCUCAUAGCGGGCUCCUUGCUGCCAAGAUGUUAGGGGAGGUUCGGCCGAAACAGAGAAGAUGGAGGAUUUGGUCGCCGGGCUGUGGACGAAGGCGAGCCAUACCUUCUUCGGGAUCUCGCUCGGGUCGACCGUCCACGCCCAGAGCUCGAUGUGUCUGGAGUCCGCCGGCUGGACGAGGUCGGUGACGAUGUGCUGCAGUGCACACUUGUGGCCGAUGACGCACUCGACGAUUUCCGGCGUCCAGGCAUGGCUCGGGAUGCCAUCGAGGCAGAGCCGCACCCUGUAGAAGAUGCGGAAGCCGAGGGCGUGGGUGAGGCUGCGCCAUGGCCUGAGGCAGAUGUCGAUGCCUCCACUGGUAAGGGUCCACGGCGCCGUGCCUCUGCCGCCUGUGUCGCACUGUCGAAGCGGAUGAGGUACGGUUCCGGCUGGUGGAGCGUGACGUUGACUUCGCCGUGGCGCAGGUGGAGCUCCCUGCUGAUGAGCCCCGCAAUGUCCCGGGCUCCGGCACCUGGCAGCACUUCCGCCGACAAGCCGCAAGAACACCAACAACAUGGCCAUUGGCGACCCCCACACGCGCCCGGAGGUCGAGACGAUCUUCGUCUCCGAUUCCUUCCACCUCAUGCAUGACGCGAGGGAAUGGGAGGCCUGUGCCCUCGCACACCGUUAAAUGAAAGUGGGCCUGAAAACAUCUGUUGAUAAUGUAGCACAUUAAUCGAGCAGCCACACGGCGGCUGGGUCCUCUCCUAGAGCAUCCUCACCAUAUGUUCAAUCUCCAACUGGUUCUUCGUGUCCUCCUCAGCGCGAUUGUUUGCAUUUUACAGAAUUCUUGAUACCGCCUAUGCCUAUCUGUUUCUUCCUAGCUAGCACAACACGGAUGACAAGACUUUCACUGCUGAACAAUGCCUCAUGGUGGUAUACCUACCGUACCGUAGUGUAUAUAGGGAUGUAGAGCAGUCCUUUUCUAUGCAUAUGCUCCGGUCGAAUAUAUAUAUUUCAGACAAGAAAGUAAGAACAAAAUAAACUAACUUUCCCUUUCUGAACGUGAAAUAAAAACGAACGGAGGUAGUAUAUACUGCUAGCUAUUUAUGGUUGGGAUUUUGGAUUGUUCUCUUUUCUUUCUCUUGCUUACCCAGGCCUAGCACAGGAAGAAUGGCAUGACUCAACUGCUGAACAGUGCCUAUGGUAGUAGAGCAGUGCUGUAGGAGCUCCUUGUCAGGCCAGCAAAUAAACAUCAUCUGUUGGCCAUUCAUCAGGAUUGCAACUCGUUGACACUUGACAUGUAGACGAGAUUAUCUGAAAUGUACCUUGAUCAUUCAAUAUGGGAGGGAAACAUAAGAUUUUAGUAAUGAAUGGCCAACUCUUAAUUUUUCUAGUUUCUACGUGUGUCUCAACUCUAUGGAGUAAAACCCAAAGAUCACAGACCUCAGACCAAAUCUGACAAUUUAUUGAAUACUUGAAUUGCUGAUUCAUAUUAUUGCUCAAUUGCUAAAACAAUUACUGUUUGUGCUUCUCACAUCUUUCAUCACUAAGUAUCUCAUGUUUACAGAAGGCUUCUCAUGGGUCAGGACUCGAUCAGUUACAAAUUCAUAGCAUUCUCCGAUCCAUCCUUUAGUUUUGAUAAUCGACACAUUAUUAAGACCACUUCUUACUCACUAGUUUUGCUCAGAAUGACCAUCAGAACAAAUAUCAAGGCUCAAAUGGAAGUUUCAGAAAAUUCAGAUCUAAAUCUAUGGGCCUGACUCACCCAUCUCAGCAAGAACGUUUCGAGAUGGAUUGACAGCUCCUAGCCAUACCGAAUUCAAGGGGAGAAGCUCUAGCUAGAGCAUAGGAAAUCAAUCAAUCCAAACGAAGGUCGUGCUUUCCAUUACUAGCAUCGAGAAAGGGGAAGGCAAAAUCGACCAUUGGGUUCCAAUUCCGCUCGACGCCAGCCCAGCAGAAGGAGAGCACAGGGACGAGGACGCGAGGGCGGCUGCGAUGUCGAGGGGAACCCCGAGGACGGCUGCGAAAAUCUAUUCCAUUUCCAUCUUGUUGUAACUCUGUUUUACAGAAGUUCUUGAUACCUCCUAUGCCUAUCUGUUGCUACCAUGCAUCAACUUCAUUUUCCAUGCGAAGCAACUUUUGGAUUCUAUGCAUCUCUUAUAUGAUGCGCAGCCACACAAUAACAAUCUAGCUAGGGCCUUCAUCUAAAAAACAACAAUAGGUGUAAAAGAAAUGAACUGUAUAUGAAUGGAAAUAAACUAGAACAACAAGAAUGACAAGACUCUAACUGCUCAUAACGAUGCCUCUGGUGUACUACGGUGCUAGUAUAUAUAGGGAUGUAGAGCAGUACAGCUUUUGAGUGCUAGCUGUACAAGCUCCUUGUGAGGCAAAUCACUGGAUGUAUGCACCAUUCAAUGAAAGUGGGCCAGCAAACAACUACUGAUAAUGUAGCACAUUAUUAGUAGAGAGGGGAUCUCUGAGGUCAAGAAUAUUAGAGUAAUUCGCAUAUGUGAACAUUCACCAUAUAUGUAAGUGUAAACUGAAAUGACAGACAGAUUUGAGAUUUUGCACACAGUAACAAUGACGAAAACAAACUCGGAAUAACAUGAAUAGGCGUUACCUCGAGGCCUACUAGCACGAGAACACUACUGGAAAAGUGACUAUUACUACUGGGUACCUUGUGUGUUGUGUAAUGAUGAACCUCUAUGCAUGCUAUGCUAUGUGUAGUUGACUUGUGCUUAUGGGAUGUGUUGAAAUCCUUGCUACUACUCAUGACACAUCUCACGUACUACCCGAUUUAGUUUUACUUAAUGGAGUUGAUCAGUAGAUGAUAACAUAAUUAACUGGAAUUAAUUUGGAUGGUUUUUCAUAUAUUCGCUACAUUCUUUGAUACACCGGGACGUACGGAACACACGGAGGCUCCCUUGCCCAAGAGUUACAGCUAGAAAUGUGACAAGUCUGUUUUACAGAAGUUCUUGAUACCUCAUAUGCCUAUCUAUUUCCAUCAGCUUCAUUUUCCAUGCGAAGCAACUUUUGGAUUCUAUGCAUAUGCUCCACACGAUUAUAAUCUAGCUAGCCUUCAUAAAAAAAACAACAAUAGCUGUAAAAAAUAAAAUUUACUUGUACUACUUCCUCGGUCCCAAAAUUAUUAGUCGUUUUGGCUUUUCUGGAUUUAUAGAUUUUGCUAUUUGUGAUCGGAACAUAGCAUUAUUCACUUUUCUUUCUCUUGCUUACCCAGAUCUAGAACAGGAACUCAAGAAGAAUGACAUGACUCAACUGCUGAACAAGAGUACUUUAGGAGCUCCUUGUCAGGCCAGCAAAGCACUGGAUUCAAUGAAAGUGGGCCAGGAAAUAAACAUCUGUUGGCCAUUCAUCAGGAUUGCAACUUGUUGACACUUGACAUGUAGAUGAGAUUAUCUGAAAUGUAUCUUGAUCAUUCAAUAUGGGAGGGAAACAUAAGAUUUUAGUAAUGAAUGGCCAACUCUUAAUUUUUCUAGUCUCUACGUGUGUCUCAACUCUAAGGAGUAAAAGCCAAAGAUCACAGACCUCAGAACAAAUCUGACAAUUUAUUGAAUACUUGAAUUGCUGAUUCAUAUUAUUGCUCAAUUGCUAAAACAAUUACUGUUUCCGCUUCUCACAGCUUUCAUCAGCAAGUGUCUCAUGUUUACAAAAAGGCUUCUCAUGGGCCAGGACUCGAUCAGUUACGAAUUCAUAGCAUUCUCCAAUCCAUCCUUUAGUUUUGAUAAUCGACACAUUAUUAAGACCACUUCUUGCUCAGUAGUUUUGAUACGGUUAAGUCUGUACCGCCAAAUCCAUCCAUGACAGCCUUCGCGGAGGGAAAUUCUGCUCUGGCAGUAAAGCUGGGAGACACAGAUUUUUAGUAAGAUAACAUGAACCCGAAUCAUGGUUGAAAUAAGCCAUGUACAUGAGAGGCAAAGGCAGUUUACCUGCUUCGAACAACUACGCAUGGCAUGCCAAUGCGCUCUGCUGCAAGGACACCAGGUUGGCUGCCCGCAACAAGAAUGCAGUUUCGUACGUCGCAUCCAACGUAUUCAGACCCAGCUCGCAGAGCCGCUAUUACCUUCUCAGAGCUGACAAUGGUGACUAGGCAGUGAAAUUUAGAUAAUAUUCUAGGCAAUGAAAAUCAGAUAAUAUUCUUCCAGGGAGGUACAGUGUUAGAAAUAACCUUUCAGACACUGUGAUGUCAACGCUAAGCUUUAGGAUCGAUGCAACCUCUUCUGCAAUCCUCUGCUUCUCUGCGGAAGCUGUUGCAACAGAACAUUUGGAAUUAACUUCAAAUGGUCCUUGAACUGAAACAAAAAUGAACGAGGCUGCAAUUUUUUCAUUCAGCAAUACUUACCAGCCUUUUGGGCUUCCCUGAUAAGUUGCUCAUCCAAACUGGAUGUGACUCCUUUACCAAGAACAAGUUGCCCGUAGAAGCUUCCUUCAACCUCAUCUUUUCCAACAAUCUUUAUUUUUGAUGUUCUUUCAGGACCCAACUUUUUAACUAUGGAUCUAGAGUCAAAUAGAAAAGGAAUGAGAACAAAAUAUCUUGACAAAUUACAGCAUUUCCAUCAAUUAGUUUGAGAUAAAUAACAAGAGUAGACAGUAGAUAUUUUUUUAUACAAACUGUACCUUGAAAUAUUUUCUCCAUUCCUCCCAUAUGCAGCCAAUAUGGCGACAGGGAUACCCUGACUAAGUGCAUCAUCAAUGAACCUUCGAAUGAUUUCAUACACAGAAUCAGACACAUGGCAACUUAAAGUUCAAGAUAGAGUCAUUCAUAUCCUAUGGCAAGCGCAGAGUAUUUAAGAGAGGCAAACGCUGUUCAGAAAAAUACAUAAGAUCAAAAUAAGGACAAAAAUAAUUUGCUUAUAAAUGCUCAUGAAUUGAUGAAAUCAAAGCAUGCAGCAUGUGUAUCAGAACACACAGAAACUUUUAUUUGAAAUGCUAUGACUUCUGUUCCUUCUUUUAGAUAUCAACAAAUGGCCCACAUGAUCACUUAGUUAAAUGGUCCUGUAAUUCUUGCAAAAGUUUAAGGAUGAGAAAAAUGAACGACAGUGCAUACGUCUAUAGAGACUGCUUAUUACAAUUUACAAGUAAUUGACUGGUGUCUGCAGCUCAGGCAGGGUAUAUGGACAAGCAACAUUCUAAGGGCCUCAACUCCUUGUUCAUGCUGAUAGCAUGGAAAAUCAGGAAGGCUCGCAUCUUCCAAAGCAAAGAACGCAACAGUCGCUCAAGUAGUCUGUGAUAUUGGUGAGGUGAUCAGGCUAUAGGCCCAAGACAGAGCAAAAAGACAUGGUGAACUCAGCUCUGCUGUAGUUCCCACAUCAGGAGAUGCUAUUUCAGUCUAGAUCACAACUACUCUUCUUUUCCGGUAGUUCUUUUCUUAGCAUAAGUCAGUAGUUUGAACCAUGUGCCAGUGAGCGCUUCGGCGGAUCAUGUUGUAACAAUUUUUAUUCUGCUUCCCUUAAUGAAAAAGAUAUGCAGCUCUCUUGCGUAUUCUCGAAAAAAAGAAAGAUUGAAGUCUUACGUUUCAACUCCAGGCCGCAGUGGUAAGCUACCAGAAGCUGAGAAUUCUUCCAAAGCUUUCAACUAGAACAAGAGAAUGAUGCUCAAAGAAGUCAAUAUAACAAUAUUUAUAAUGAAAAUGGGUGAAAGAGAAGGAACACUAGUCCAUUUUGAUAUCAAAUUCAAGAUCCUGAUUAAUCAGGUUGAUUGAAAUCAGGUUCAAACUUAGAAAUUAGUGCCAGGAAAUGGUGGAUAAAAACUAGCGCAUAGAACAGGAAUUAAGCGAAGUAACCCUGCUUUCAGGUUAUAUCCAAACAUUCUGUUUUCUAACUGCCAGCCAGCUGCACUGGAUAAAAAUUAGUUUGUUCUCCAUUCCUUAGUAGAAUCAUACAUGGAUAAUAUGCACAAAAGAAAUUGAGAUCCUUGGCUGAAUGCAAUUGGCAUAUAUAAAAGUUAGGUGAAAUCAGGAGUCCAGUGAUGAGGAAAAGGAUCAGAAAACACUACCAGCAAGGUACAACUCAAGCUAACUUCUGUCAAGGCCUGAUAUAUCAUAAAGUGGCCAGGUAAUGCUUGAUAUGCUUACCUUUUCACGAAGAACACUUUUCAUAAAUGAUCCUUUCUCACUAGUCGGCAAAGAUGUAGGCCAGCCAAUCUGUGUCAAGUCAGAGGAAGGGGUUAAAUUCCAAAAAUGAAAUGCAUCAGCAGAUGCAAUUACUCAGAUCCACAAAGCUAUAUUACACAACAAGUAUUUUGUCACAUGGGAGGAACAAUUAUUUUUAAAUGAAAUUUGGCUACAAGCUACAGAAAUUGAAAGAAUUCGCUUAGAUGUUCUGUUUUCCCCCAAUGUCUUUAAGCAAAUGUAGCUGACUUGCGAUGUAGUGUAGCCAGAUUUGCUAAUUCCUACAAGACCAAAAAGCAUACUAGGGGAAGAAAUAGACCAUACCCUGUCAAAGAAUAAUGCCAGCAUCCUUUCCUCAUCACCACGAGCUUUCCUAGAAAACAAUGUAGCUUUAGGAAAAUAAUAAUCAACAUAAAGAGAAAAGGAAACACCUCCGUCCAGUCCAGUCCAAACUAAGAGGUUAGACAAAAGGGGACAACACAGCAAGGGAACACAAUCCAAUCUGUAAUGCCAAGAGCUAACCCAGUGUUGAAGGAGAGGCAGGACAUGUGAUUGACGACGCUAGAGAACUUAAUACGCACCUGACCAAAUCAGUAUAUAUUGGCUCUGUCCAAUUUGCACAAUCUAGCCCGAGACUUUGAAACGCUGGUGGAAUAAAAUAUUAAUAUGUAUUAGAAUCAAGACAGGCAAGAACUAUGCACAAUUGUGCAGCUAGACUUCUAUUCUGCUAGAUCCCUUCAUUGUUUAUCUACUUUAUUUGCUAUUUUGUAUUUCAACCUCAGCAUGGCAUGGCAUAGAUUAAAGAAAAAUAAAGUGCUACAAAGAGUAAUAGAACUUGAUAAGGACAUGAAGCAUAGAAAGAUUUAUAUGUCUCGCACCUACAUUGAAAGCCUGACGAUUGCCGAAACGGUAGACAUCUGCAAGAACUCUGCGGAACAGAAACAUGAAAUGCUCAAUCAGAAACAGUAAUUCUUCUGAUAUCAGCAAUGCAAAGGAAAGCAAGAAAAGGCAUCACUAUUCACUACUCCGUAAUAGGCUAAUAGCUCAAAAGAAAACUCAGUAGUAUUUGUUCAACAACAAAGCAUGGUUCAGCUAGAUCGAUACAAAAUGGAGAAUGGAUUCUCACAGAAAUAAUCAGAUACAAAAUUACUUAAUUGUGGCACUUGUCUCAGCGAAUUAUCUGAGGACACGUUACUCUCACUAAUUCCUGCCACUGUCUACAUCUGCACAGUUAUUCUAAAUUUGAACAUUUCUAAUCCCAGUAACCGCUCUAGCUUCAGCAACUACCUUGCUCUACAAGCAGAAAAGGCACUCCUUUUUUGGGAUAAAAACAAGGGGAAAUUGGAAUUCACGAACUGAGCAGUAGAAAGACUGGAUUUUUAUGGCCCCUCACCCCUCCACCUCCACAAGCAAGCCGAUGCUCGGCGGUACCGAGGUCUCCGAUGACGAGGAGGAGCACCGGAGCGGCGGCGCCGGGAGCCGGCGGCCGGAACUCGGGGCGACGGCGGCGCGGAGCGGAGGAGAUGCAGAGGCGGCCGAGGAGGUCGGAACGGAAGCAGGGGCCUUAGCUGUCUCCGGAGAGGCUGGUGCCGGCGGGGACGCCCGGAGCGGGACGCGCCGAGCGGCAGCUGCGGCUGCAGCGGCGGCCAUGACGGGCGAGGUGGGCGAGUGGACCGGCGGCGGCGAGCUAUCCGGCGCAGGGAGAGGACAGGGACACUGAUGAUUGGUCGGUACACCACGUGGGCGUGUGGGCCCAGGCACAGAUGAUGGCAGUUCUAAUCACACAGCGGCUAAGCUAACAAAAGAUCAUCUUUGAGUGACGGGUUAUCUCUUAUCGCUUUCGAAGCACUUAUUUACGGGCGGCGCCGUAUCAGCCCAUUUCUUUCGCCCGAUACAUCCCUUCUUCCUCCGUCUCAUUUUGCUUUUUCAAAGAACGACGCAAAAGAUAGUGCGUGUUUUAUUAAUAUAGCAGAAAAUAUAAGAUUAGAGGCUAUAGACAGGAAAAGGAAAAGAAAAGGAAAAAAAAAGACUCAUCCAGUUAGUUUGGGAUAUCAACGCGGGUCACCACUCAACUCAAAACCAGCACAUCCGACCGGUUGGGACGUCAACGCGGCCUCCCCACUCCACUCACCAAGGCGGCAUCCACCAACAAGGCAACAAUCAUGCUCAUCAAUUUGCCGAAAUCUCCGAGCGUGGUCCUACGUCGAUAGGGAACCGAUAGGAGUAGACUGCACCGCAUCGAGAAGGCCACCGCCAUGCGGGACCCUCCGCCGUAGUGCCGCUACAACACCAUACUCCAACUGAUGGAGUGAUACCACCGAAUCCGAAUAUCUCACAGGUUGCCUCGCAGUCACCACCACGAGAACAUGACGCAUGGGGGCCUCGCUACAACCAUCGUUGGACUCCACCUCGCUCUCAUCGCCUCGAAGAAACACCGUGCGCGAGGGCCUUGCCUCACCCGCCGUGGUACUCCAUGUCACGAAUCUGUUUCUUUUAUUGCCGUCAGAGUGAUAAGCAAUGCUGCUCCGUUUCACCAAAUCUCCAUCAAACAACCAAAACCGCCGCCGCAGGUCGACUUCGCCUCGUUGCUUCACCCGUGCAAAAGCCUCCGCGGUCAAGACAGCAAACCGAGAAGUCGCAUGCAUCGCUUUUUGACGAUGUACCGCACCGGAUAGCCUAGCCAAGCUGAUCAACCCGCUGAGGUCCGCUGCAAGCCUAAUUGUCCCACGCUGUCGUUGCCGCAAGUGCCAUCCUCCGACGUAGUCCCACACCGCUCUGACCGUUGCCAGGCAAUACCAGCCGCCGCAGUCCGCUGCAAGCAGCCAAAGCCGACAACCAUGUAACAACCCCUGACCGCUGCCAUACCUACGAUCGCCUCCACAUGGCCUUAGCAACACCUGUCUAGCUUUCCACACGACCGAAAUGCUGCCACCAGCUGCGGCCGCCAAUGACCAAUGGACCAACAAUGUCAUUAACCAAGAUGGGUCUCUAUAAACAAUGCCUCCAAAGAGAGCAUGAUGCCAAUGGUGCCGCCGGCGCUUGUCCAGGGUCUGGAUAGGGUUUCCAACCAGAGAACUCUGUGCAGUAGGGUUGUAGCUCCGAAGUGACGCCCCCAACGGGUAGAACAACGCCCUAGGGCGCCGUAGUCAACUCCACUACCAAACGCUAGCGAGGGCUUUCGCCUUGAGCAUCCCAACCCUCACCACACGCUCAUAGUUUGACAUUCCCAAACCACGGUCAUAGCAGCCCAAACUGGGGCGGUGUCACCACCGCACACCAAUGUGACCACGCCGCCAUGCCUCCACCUCCGCUUGCUCGCCGCCACAUCCACUCCUUGCAGCCUCCUCCACGUCGCGCGAGCCCCCAUCAAUGCUCAGCCGCCUUCCGCUCCCGUUGCCACCUCCGCAACUCCUUAGCCGAGGAGAGGUGGCCCGAUGACGCCUGCAGCCUCACCUCGGUGCCACCAGCGCACCCCUAUGCCAGGUGUCCUUGCCACGCCUCCAUGGCAUCACUGGGACACCUCGCACAUGGCACCCCGGCUGCGGCACCACGCUGCCACCGUUGAGGCAUAGAAGCCGUUGUGCCCCGGCUUGUUGCUCGCCCCACUUGCCCGCCCUCGCACAAUCUCACGCCGGACUGGUCGCACUCCGUCUGCCACCGUUGACCGAUCCACUCCUUUCCCCGCACAGCGCCACCUCACCUCUGCGCUCGGGGCCAGCCUCCGCGAGCUGGUCAACCACACGGCGGAUUGGAUGCCAUCCCCUGGGCCGCCUGCAUCCGCGUGGCUGCUACCCUCAUUCUCGCAGCUCACCGCCCCUGCCUCAAAUCCCCUCCCACGCAACCCGUCGCCCCAACCUGCAGCUCGCCGCCCCCGCCACAAAUCCCCUCCCACGCAGCCCAUUGCUGGCCGCGCAAUCGCUCCCGCCAGACACGAGCGAGCGGUGGCCACUUGCGCCGGUCACUUUUGCAACUCGUGGUGGAGUUCCAGCACCGCUGCCCAAGGGGGGUGUGAGCGCCACCACGCCCCGCGCUCACCCUCAGCUGUUGCCGCAGAGGAGCCACCGCCGCCAGGUCCUAGGCCCACCGAGACGCCGGACUUGAGGCCAGGACGGCCGCCUACCCACCGCCAUGACCCGCAGAUCCAUCCCCAGGGGCGCCGGAUCCGGUCCCUGAAAUGCCAGAUCCGCCAGCCUGGGGCGCCGCCGCCACCUCUGUAGCCCCACGCCACCGCACCCAAAGUCUGUGCCGGUCCCCGGCUGGUCACCGCCUUCCUAGCAGGCACUCGGGCUUCCGGUGCACUGCUCUGAGGGUGGUGAGGUGGGGAGGAGGUCAGGAGGGGCGGUGGUGGCGGUGGAGCCACCCAUGUCGCCUCCAGGGAGACGACGUGGGGCGGUUAGCACAUGUCUCAUUUUGCUUUUGAGAAAAAGUAUCUAUUUUUUUUAUAUGGAAGAACAUUUGGAUUGUCUAGACAACAAUAUCAUGGAUAUCUAGAUGUAUAUUUGGGAAUGGGACAGGAAGAUUCGAGGCUACACUCGAAUAUGCAUGGAUUUACAUUAUCUAUUAUCUAGCUCACCACACUGGGUGUUGUUGGUUUUCGCCAUGUGAAGACUUGGUCUGCUACAGACGGAUGAUGUUGGUAUUGGCGUUGCUUCCUCCUUGGAGGCAUCAUCUUGCAUGACAUUCACACUCUACCUCAGUUGGUUCUCUUUGUUAGGCAAUACGUGAUGUGCAUGUUUUCAUGGUGUCUUUCUCUCUUGCAGGUACGAGCCAUCUUAGGUCGUGAUUAGUGUGGUGGUGAUGGUGUAGUUUUCUUUUCUGUUGUUGUGUUUGUGUUUUGCUUGUUGCCAGGGUGGUGGUUCUUGUAACUUUGCACUUUAGGUGGGUUUCUCCUAAAAUUGCAUCUUUGUAAUUCUCUUCUUCUUAAUGAAAACGUGUUCAACAUGUAUUUAAAAAAAUUGUACAAGUUUAGUUUUAAGUUAGAAGUUUGAAACUGUGACAACAUUCACGUGCAAUGGCUCCAUUCACAGGCAACUUCUGUAGACCGUAAUUAAACAAACAAUACCUGCAAUGUUCCAUCAAAAAGGAGUUUUAUUAGCUGAGGUAUGCUCAAUUUCGCCACGUGGAAUUAUGGCCUCAUUUUGUGAAGUGAUUUUGGAUUAAAUGCCGAAUUGCUAAUUUCAGCAAGGGAGAAACUAACUCCAGUUAUUUGGGGUUCCAAAGUGAAUCGGACACAUUUCGAAGCAUAAUGAGGAGUUGAGGGAGGACUGAUCUAGAGCAAACUAUAUACCCAAUAUGGUGAGACGUCAAACCACUGUACAAGCGACAUAGGGUUGGUACGUAGAAGAGCUGCAUAUUUUUGUAUUAAGAAGAAAUUAAGUGAUAAAAUGUUUUUACAACACGGACCAUCCAUGCACACGCACAUGGUUGAGGACGAGGAGCCGUAUUUACAACGAGGGUAGGUAAAGUUAAGUGCUAUUACUAAUGCCAAAGCCAUGCAAAGCUAGUGAAUAGUGAUCCGUAUUUAAUUCCAAGUAGGUUGCAUCUAUCUGUUAGAUCUCCAUGAUCCUUCCGAGCUCGUCCCAGGUGCUACCACUUUCUCUCAAGGUCGUCAGCUCGCUCCACCCUGACGUCGAUGCUGGCAACGAAGGAGCUCCCAUCAUCAAUCCUGAUGUUGCUGCUGCUGUUGUUAUGGCCGAUGACACGCCAUGGAAACCAUGCAACAGGAACGGCUGGUUGUGGUCAGUGGCGCCAUAAGCCUCCUUCGUCUCUGACGAAUCGAAGUCGAAGCUGCUCGCCAUCGCCACGGAAAUCCUGUGCUGAUGGAGAUAGUGGUAGUCAUAGUAAUAUUGCAACUGCUGUUGCUGCUGCUGAUGGCUUCGUUCGCUGCUGUGUUCUUGUUUCAGCUGCUGUUGCUGGCACCUCCUAUUGUACGACGACAUGUUCCUCUUGAAGAUCCGGCAUAUCGUCCAUAUUUCCUGUGAUUAGAGAUGAACAAAAAGAAUUAAAUAGUGUUUCAGUUUAUCUGAAUUAUUGUGUUUGAGAGUUACAGGGUUGAUCUGUGAAUUAUUAGCACUGACUGCAUCUUGGAGCUCGGCCGCCGCCGCCGCCGCCGACGCCGCCGUCGAGGGGAGGCGGAACUCGUGCAUCAUCCAGUCGGUCUUGGUGCCCCUGCCGGCGCUGCCGCGGUAGUAGACGAGGGACUUCUUGAGCCCGAGGCACUCGCCGCCGCCGCCGUGGAUGGGCUUGUCGAUGCCGGUGGCCUUCCAGAAGCCGGAGCUGGUGACGCGGUUGGGCCGGAUACUGUUCCUGUACUUGCGUCCACGCAGGCAGAAGAAGUACCUGUCUUUGUCUCCUGAUGCACCCUGCACCACCCCAUGCCGAGCUUCAUCUGCAUGCAUGUUCAUGCAUACCUCCACACAGUCAGCUCCGAUCGAUCUCCAUGCAUGCUAGCUUCCAUCUUGAGCAAUCAAAGAAGAACACACUGUGACUGUGACAUGAAUUGAACAUACUUGGAAGAUCCCAGGGGUCAUGCUUGUAGAUGUCGAUCUCCUUGAUGAUGUCAAUACUGAACCCCUUCUUCUCCACCUUCCUCGCGAGGUAGAAGCCCACGAGCUCCUGGUCCGUCGGGUGGAACCGGAACCCCGGGAACACCAAGUCAUCCUCUUCGUUUUCGACUUCUUCGGCUCCGCCGCCUGUCUUCUUGAUCCUUUCCAACAAUGGCUUCUCCUCCUCCAUGGCUGGCUUCAUCAGGAGCUUGUUCUUGCUUCUAGGGCUAAGAUAGCUGCUUUACAUGCCAUACAUGGUGAUGAUGGUGGCCAAAUGGAGGCUGUGUACGGACUUGGUUAAUCGCUGUAUUAAUAUGUUUGGAUGGCCUGGCCCUUAUUGUAAAAUGAGUGGUCAUACGUUGAAUUGAAGACAGCCAAAGAUUAAGAUGUGAGAAAUUUUUGCCCAGGUCCAAGUCAAUGGAACUUUGGCCUUAUACGUUGAACUUUCUCAUUUCAUUUCCUGCACAAAUUAGAGGAAGCAAUUAAGCAAUUAUUUAACCUAAUCUACUUUACAAACUUCUAAAGACUCAAAUUUUUGACUUAGAACGCAUCAUAUAGUGAUGCCUUUUUUAAUGGUUGAGGACUCGUUCUGAUUUUUUGAGCUAGGAAUCUAUUUCAGAAGAUGGUUUGAUUUUUCUUUUGUAAUCUUUCCGUUCCAAAUUAUAAGUCAUUCUAACUUUCUUGGAGCGUCAAACAAUUUUACGUUUGACCAAAAUUAUAGAGAGGAUCACAAAAUUUUAUGGCACCGAAUAGAUAUAUACUAUGAAAAUAUAUUUAAUGAAGAAACUAAUAGUACUUAUUUGGUAUCAUGAAUGUUAGUACUUUAUUGUAUAAAUUUGGUCAAACUUGAGAUGUUUUGACUCUCUAAAAAUAACUUAUAAUUUGGAAUGGAGGGAGUAUGGUUAAGCAUAUCAAUACUAUGUUGUGUUGUGCCAAGUCAAGGCAGAGGUCGUCAUGCCCUUUGACUCGGUAGGAGUGUGAUUGAUUUGUCUAAGCUAGCCCUUUUAAUUUUGCAGGGUGAAUUAUCUGCUAUCCUUUUUUCUUUUAUUACCACAAACGAGGGUGAGUGGUAUUUUUCCCCUCAAAUUGGACCCUUUUGCUUGUUUGCAAAUUAAAUUUUGGAUCUGAAUGGUAACUACUAUCAGAUUUUGGAAUACAUUUGCUACAUUUUUGUUAACUGUUGUAAUUUCUCUCUGUCCGGUAGUUGUCGCGAUUUGAGACCGCGGUUGUCUCUUCAAAUUAACAGGAAAAAAUAGUUUCAGGAAGAAAAGCUCCGGGUGUAAAAGCUAAACCGUGCGUAGAUAUUUUUUUCUACUGAGAAAAGGGUUGAUCACAAAAUUUCGUCGACAGUUAAAUUUUUAAUGCCGUUUAUGUUGGGUGGAAAGGGAUGUGCGGAUUUGUCUCAUAUUAAAGUGUAACUUACAUUUUGAGCCACAAAACUUGGAGAAGCUUCGGAUUAGGUAAGAAAAUCAGUCCCCCUUUGCUACUUGUACUGCUAGAGCUGAAGAAUCUCAAAGCAUUCAUACGACACAAAACUCUGGCCAUCAAAUUUUUAGUCACUGCAAGGAAAGUGACACACCUACACAUGUUGCUUCAAAAUAACUCCAUAUCCAUCCAAGCAAAGAAAAAAGAUGCUAAAUAUUUCCAGGUUUGGAAAAGUGUGAUGGUUGAGUCCACCAUUUUCAGCCUGGAUGAAAAAUGCAGUCAGCAGCUGUGGAUUUGUAAGAGGGAAACAAUUUUUGUAACCUGACACUUGGCACUCGUAGUUAUCCAGGAAAUUUUGGCAUAAAGAAAAAUCUGAGUCCCUCUUUUGUUUGAUAAUGGUUAAGAAAACAUUUAGGACCCACAAAUUGACCUCUCCAGACUCUAGACUGAAUUGUUGCUUGUAUGGAUAGCAGGGCGCGACUUUCUUACAAUGAGUACAUCAUAUGUUUUACGGCGUAACACUGUCCUGGUUGUUUAAGAUAAUUCCGUUAAAAAAGAUCCGGUCUAUUUUCUGCAAUAAAAACUAUGAAUUUCCGAGAAAAAUAUCCUUAUAAAACUCUCAUGUGCUCCCACAAGUUCUAACACCUCUAUUGUCUGUCACUCAGUUUCAUCAAACAUAAGCUUUUUCUCGUUCUCUUUGUUGGUGGUGUUUCUAUUUUGAUCCUGGAUUCUACUGAUUUUUCAUCCUUCUUGUAAUGGGAAGCCAUGUAAUCUCCACUUAUUUUUGGGUAUACAUCUUGCAGUGCACAUGAUUUCCUUUUUGAAGUAUCUUACUUAUAUAUUCUGCUCUCUUUGAAACAAUUAGAAACAAUUAUUUAGGCUAUUCGAGUUGAACUAAGCUGGCUCUAUAUCCUGCAAUCAUACAAUUCUGGAACUUUUUUUUUCCAAUCUUUAGUUUUUAGAGAUUUUUUAAUAGUAGGCAUUCGUCCUGAUCCUGAUUAUAAUCAGACUAUCGCAACUGUUUCUUUCACAAGGUAUCUUCCAAUUAGUUGAGUCUCUUUAACUUCCUUUGUUUUGUUAUUUUUCUGUAGCACUGUCUAAACUACAAUGCAAGUAAUAGAUGAAUUCUCAGUUGAUGGCAACUGGUGAAAAAUCAUUUUUCAUGUCCUAUAACUGGAUGCGAAAGUUAUCAUGGCCUCUAGAGUCCAUUUUCAGCUAAGAAUGAUGAGUUUAAAAUUCAAUUCAAUGCUAAAUUUUGGUCCCUAUAUCUUCUUUUUUAUGAAGUAGUUGAAGUGCUCAACUACCAAAUUUAUUCAAACUUUGAUGUCUUUUUCGAUCAAACUAUUCAAAUGAUGCCACAUAAUAGCAACAAUGAUGAUCCAAAAGGAACCAAGAUUUUCUGUUGAACACACAUUCCAUCUCUGAAGACUGUAGAGAUAAGUAACUCGUAGGUCCUACCUUUCUGAAGCUCUGAUGCAUGCCAUGAAGUUGUCAACAAAGAUAAAAAGGCAAGAUGGUCAGAGCAAAUAUAAUCAGAUACAUUUUGGUGCUGUCAAAAGAGUUGAUGUCACUGCAUGCGUGCAGUAGAUCCAUCGUGAUAAUUUACUAUUGAAUUAAGGAAAGCAGGGCUGUUUAACUUCAUGCGUCAUGAAACCUGAUAAGAUCACUCAUGCUAACCAAAGUGAUCGAUCUCGUCUUCUUCUUCCUCUGCUUCACCUCCAAAGUCAGCAUAUUCUGCUGCAUGCUCUAGCAGAAGAAAUCCAGAUCAAAGUAGGUCGAGUGAAAUUUUUUUUCCAUCUCCAACCUUGCCGAAGCGACCGAACAUUCAGACACAAUCAAAAGGUCUUUUCUCAGAAGUCUACAUGACUCCAUGUUGGCUGCUGCCUGUGCAGUACAGGGACUAGAAAACUGUGAGCACAGCAGAGUGUUUUGUUACUGAACUCCAUCAGUUUUCGUGUUUGACGGUGAUGGCGUUCAUACUGCGUUGAAACUUGAAACUGAGAACAUGACAUACUCAAGUACAAGCACAACAGAGCACUUGAUCAGGAUACAACAAAGCCACAAUAAGCUGCCGCAACUUGCAAGAGUCAAAAACGCCCCCGGCAUAAUACAGUAGCCUGAAAUCUUCAUCUUAGAGCAUGGGGUUUCAGUGUCCUUGAAGGCAGUCGUUCAGGUGUAAAAAACACCUGAUAUUUCAGUAAAACAUCGCUGCCGGUAGAAACAACAAUGUCCCCUUGUCUCCUAGAUUAGAUAAAAAAAACUCUUCCCUAGAACAUUAUUGCUAAUAUAACUUGGAAUAGUCUGAGAGAAGACGCAUGCAUCUCAGUAUCAUUGAUAGACUCAGUUGGUCUGUUACUUUCUUUGGACCUUAAAGUAUUGACAAGUCCUGUGCAAUCUUCCCAAGCGUUGACUAAAUCCGUUGGCUGCUGAAACAAUCUUCUUAUGGGAAGUAGUAUUGUUCAGGCUUAAGGAAUGAGGAAUCUGGCUGUUCAUACCAAAAAAAGCGAUGAACAAUUCCACUUCCAUUUUGUGUUUUUUGUCCACACAACCUGGCAUAUCUUCAUUCUGAUUCAGUGUAGUGGCAGUGAUGCUAAUGAAUGGAUUUCCUUUGCUCUCUCAAAAUUCAUCAGAAUGAAUGCUCUGUUUGCACAUAUUGUGGUUUUGCAAGUGUCCCCAAACCUAUCACUCGAGCUGACCAACCAACGUGGUGCUGCCCUCGUGUCCUUCGGGGAUGGAUCAUACAUGUGGGGAUGGAUCAUACAUCAGCGAUGGACUCUUCGGAGAAGAUCAGGAAAACAACUCUGAAUUCUCUGCUACACUGAACGCGCUUGUCUGAAUUCGAAGCUGAAUUGCCAUCACAGCAGGAACUUGAGACUGAUUUUUUAUGCUGAGGAAUCUCCGGUUAAUCUGCCGACGGCAACCAAAUCAGAACAGCCAUUGGGCCUCCCGCAAAUUUCGCAUAAUAAGCUUCAAUGGAUGAGAAAUUUCGGUUGAUGCUCUGCUGCUUUCAGUUGUCUGUUGCGUUGAUGAAAAUGCUGCGUGUUUCAGAGUUCAGGCAUCAGCAAAAUGGAGUCUGCUGACAAUGAACUGGAAAACCAAUCUUCUUUAGAUAAUGGCAAGUCAAUAGAAGCGGCUUCAUCUCAAGAAAAAAAAGAACAUGCCGACUCUACGACCUACGCACCCAGGCACUGGUUGCAAAAUGCAUACCUACAUUUUCACACAACGAGCACACUAGUUAACGACUCAAAAAAGUCCCCGGUAUAAUAUAAUAGCCUGAAAUCUUCAUCUUUGAGCUGAAGCUAAUUUUGUCAGAAACAUGGGGUUUCAGUGUGCUAGGCAGCAGACCAGUGAGGCAGUGAGGCAGUCGUUCAGAUGUAAAAUUGAGCAUGUGAUGCUUCAGUAAGACAUCUGAUUGACAGGUCCUGUGCAAGAGUUGACUAAAUCCGUUGGCGGCUGAAACCAUCUUCGUCUUAUGGGAAGUAUCGUUCAGGCUUAGGAAUGGCGAAUUUUCAACGGAGCACAAGCUAAACAGCCCAGCCGGCUGGUUUCUGAAAUCGUCGAGCAGGCUCAGCUUUGGUGCAGCGCAGGUGCCACACACCUAUCCUUGCUGGGUUGGCCAGUAUCAGCAGGAGGACCACAUCCUUAGUCGACCUGCCUCCUGUUUGCUGUUGAUUAGUUGUUCAUUUCAUUACGUAAUCAUUGAUGCAAAGUUGUUUCGUGUGCGUACGCCCAGUUAGCCCGCGUUGUAACCUUAAACUAUCUCUUCUUUCUUCUUAAUACAAAGAUACGCAGCUCUCUUGCAUGUUCUUUUUCAAAAGAAAUGGUGAAUCUGGUUGUUCAUACCAGACAAGCGAUGAAUAAUUCCACUUCGAUUCAGAAAUGAUAUGUUGCUCAGGUCAACUCAAUGGAGCGAUCUCCUUUACUUCUGCCAUUGCUCACUGCAGUGUCAAAUUGUCAAUGACAACGCAAGGUAGUGUCAAAUUCAGAGCCCUCUAAUGAAGAGAGAGUAUGUCUGCAUUAAGUGUCUACAAUUUUUUUUAGCAGAAAGAACUGUGGCUCUGUAUGUUCUUUUAUUGCAUCCCUGGUAUAUCUUCAUUCUGAUUCAGUGUAGUGGCAGUAAUGAAUCGGUUUUCUUCGCUCUCUCAAAAUUCGUCAGAAUGAAUGCUCUAUCUGUUUGCAGAGCCCUUUUACGGUACAUAAUACUACUACUUAGUAUAUAUAGUAUAUAUAAGAUCUAAAUGUUCAUGAUUAUGGAUGAUUUAGUAAUUAUUAAAUGUGAAAAGUGAUAUUUUAAACGAAAUGGCCUGUUUGCAUAUAUGAGGUUUUGCAAGUGCCCAAACCUCAUCACUCAUGCUGACAAACCAACGUGGUGCUGCCUCGUGUCCUUUCGAAGUCGACAACUCCUGCUCAAACAGAGAACGGGUUCAACAGCAGAGGAACGCAACAGAGCUGGUAAGUUUGACGAGCAGCAGCAUCAGAGUCAUGCAGGAAUGCAUACCAGUACAGCCACAGUAUGCGUUUACAAAAUCUUGCAUCAGUGCAGCAUAGACAAGAGCUAAGCUUGAACAUGCUUCACAUAGCAGUAACAGCAAAGGAUUAACUAAUCUGACGAGUUAUUUUGGGUAAUGAAUAUCUACCAUAACUGUUCAAAGCGGUGUCAAGCACGCAAUUGGCCUCUAUUUUAAUAUAGCAGUAGCCCUCCUGUUGGCUCGUUUCAAAACAAAAGUAUGCAAUUGGCCAAGAACGUGUAGACUCAAAGAAAAGACAUACACUAGCACAAAACGGAGAUGUUGUGAGAGGAGCAUCAUUUUCAUGAGAAUAAUUGACAACCCUCAUGAGGUUGCGCUAGAAGAGAUGGAGCCUCUCAAUGUGUUCUAGCUCGAAAGGAAUUACUGGUACAGAGCAGCUGAGAGCCUGACUGCCUGAGAUGACGAGCUCUGUCAUGUCAUGAGGUGCAAUCAAUCACGCCCAUGAUGGAUCUUGUUCCAUGCUCACUACGCUGCCUUACAAUCGUGUGGGCGCAGUGUGGAUUGACAGAAGUACCAUGCGACAAUUCUUUUUUUUAGGGUCAACAGGGGACCCGGGGGGGGCGGGGGGGGGGGGGGGGGGGGGUUUUCCCCCUUAAUUUCUUUAUUGGGGCCUUUUUAAAGCCAAAAGUCUGUACAACUUGGGUUUCAGCAAGGAAAACAAGCGAGAGGGGAAGGGGGCUCAUUCAGUCAGUUACUAGGCAUUACAUUGAACAAAAGACAGUGCACAAGGCUUCAGCAAUCGCUCGACGCACUUCAUCCCAGCAGGACGCCCAGAAUCGUGCGUGAGAUGGUGGGGCUCUUGAGAAGACGGUGUCGUUGCGGUGCUUCCAUAGCAUCCAUGAGAUCAGAAGGAGGAAGCCAUUGUAGUGCCGUGCAGGGACUGUUGUCGGAUGGGGAACAAUCCAGAGAACUUGGACAGAGGAGUUGGCCGUGUGAGAGCCAAGCGACGCCCAAACCUGUGAUGCAAAGGAGCAGCGAAAGAUGAUAAUGGUUGCAGUCUUCCACCUGGCCACACAGCUCACAGGAUGGAUUGUCAAGGAUGUUCUUGUUCACCAAGCUGUUGCGGCACUAAAUUCGCUCCAAGCGACAAUUCUUUCCUCGGUGCCACCCAUUCCCAUUCCCUUGCAUGCUCGAUAAGAACUUUGGAGUUCAUUUGUUGCUUUUGUUGUGUUUAGUAGAUGGGCGCAUGACGGUAAGUAGAUGGUCAAUAGGGUUCCUUUCUCGAAUAUUUAUAGGCAUGUGAUUUCAUCGAGACAUGUUAGGUUGGAUAUUAACUCCUCCUAAUAGGUAGUAAAUUAAGGAGGUGUAGCUGCUCUGUGCUGCAUUUCUACUUACCGUCAUAUGGUUAUGAAGCGAGUAAACUUUGUUGAAAUUUCCCGUGUGGAUUAGUUCAAAUAUAUAGGAUGGUAAUUUUUUUAUGUAUUUGUAUAAUCUGAGCAGGCACAUUAAAUUGAUACAGGAUUCCCUGUAAAAUUCUCGCAAUUUUCCUAUUGGACACCCUCACAACAACACACGGGUUCGUCAGGAAUUUCUCAUAGCACAAUCUAUGUAUUUGUCCUCGAUCUUGUUUUGACGAGCAAAUAAAACAAGCCAACAACUGAACCGCUAGUGGAUGAUGCACAUAGUUGCAAGAUACUGCAGUGUGCUACUAUUUUAAGGGUUGAUCAAAUGCGAAACUGAACAACAAAGCCGAAUUACUUGAAAUCAAACUAACUAAUUAUUGAUGAGAAAAAUUGUAGGGCUCACAAAACUAUAUAUAAAAUGCUACAAAAAAUAGAAGCCCAUGAUGUGAAUCAUUGAAUCCUGUUACUCGUAUGUUUGCUAACCUCCUCUUCCGCUCGCCGUUGUCGUUCUUUCGGUCGGUGCAACGCUGUAUGUUAGCCUCCACUCUCAACUGUGUAGUCAUCUUCAGGCCGACCUGCCUGACAAUUAUCUAAUCUCAUGCUUGAUGCUGAUUUUGCCAGUGCGAAUCCACACGAGCGUCAUGCGACCAUUCUUUUCUCGGUGCCACCCAUUCCCUUCUCCCUUGCAUCAUGUCGACAGGAACUCUGAUUUGCAUUUUGUUGGUUCUUGUGUUUUUCUUCCCUGAUUGUUUGUGAAUCAGUUUUCGAUCAGUAGACGGGAAAAUGAUUCCAUCGAGACGGGUUAGGAGUAUAAAGAAGGUGUAGUGGCUCUUUGUGCUAGGAGCAUAACUGACAGCGCACAGCAUAUAUUCAUGGAACGUCAGUAUGCAUGGUCUGCAUGCACAUGAAUCUGAACAAUGCCUUUGUUGCUUAAGCUGUCACCUAGCUGCAGUUGCUACACUCAAUUUGGUGGGGGUGAAAUUCCCAUCUUGUCCUUUUUUUUAGGAUCAACGGGGGAGAGCAUCCCCAUCUGAUUUUCAUUUCAAAGGGCUUUGAGCAAGCCAAAAGCUUUACAUCUUUGGUUGUUUUCCAGCAAUUUUAAAACAAAAGGGGGUAAAACGUUAUAAAGUUGGUGAUUACAUUGAAGGGAAGGCUUGGCACCAGGCAUCAGCGAUCAUGCGUUCAUGGCUUCGUCACCUGAAACUCCAUAGGCAUGCAUCUUCUUGACAGUUGCUCCAGAAUCGACAGCGGGAGGGCGGCGCAUUGUUGUCGAAGUCAACAUCGUUGCAAGGGACACACUCGCAACCACAUCGGCGCAUUGUUGUCUGAAGGAUCUGAGAGCAUUUUCCCAGAUGCCAGCCAUUCUCAAAAUCUAUUUGCACUCGAUCUUGUUUGGACGAGCAAAUAAAAACAAGCCAGCUCUCUCAUGCUAGAGGUGGCAUCUUUGUCUCGUGACUAACAUCACUGGCUAGUGGAUGCACAUAUAUAGUUGCAGUAUGGACUAUGGGAGUGCUAUAUACUGUGUGGCUGGACCAUUCUCAAAGUGUAUUUUGUAAUCGAUCUUGGCUGGACGAGCAACAAGCCAACAACUGAACAGCGCUCUCUGACUGCUUUCAGAGACCAUAAGCAGAGUUACUACUGCUAAACAGUGGGAGUCAAAAACGGCAACUGAUAGUGUAGACCAUAAGGAGAUGAGCAUGAAGCUGGAGUCAAGGCCUUUUCUUUGAUGCCUCUUGAGUUGGUGGAUUGUUCUGAAUGCCAACGCACUGGCUGACGGCGUGCCAAACCUGUUGAGUGUAACUGCAUUGAGCAAAAGGAUGUACUGAAGUUUCAGCAUCCUGAUCACAGAGCGCGUACAGUGCUGUUUGCUGCAGGCCAUGUCGUUGCCUUCUUGCCGCCGUCCACAACCUCUCUCGCAAGGCUAGCGACAUGAAAAACUUCACCUUGAGAGGUGCCCAAGAUCGCCAAAUUGAUCCUGCAGCAGGGAAUCUGGCUGAUCCUAUGAAGAAUAUGCCCUGUAAGCAGAUUUGGCCGAGUAAAUUCCUGAACUUUCCCACCUCCAAGAGACCCUAUCUUCAGUCCCGACAGCUAACUGGAUUCCUGCAACCUCUUGCCAAAGCUGCACAUGCUGACUACAGCAGUGUGAAUCCAUAGGAGUAAGACCGUGCGACCAGUCUUUUCUCGGUGCAUCCCAUUUCCAUAUUCCUUUGCACGCCAACAAGAUCGAGCUUUGGAGUUGCAUUUGUCGGUUCUUGUGUGUUUUCUCCCCUGAUUGUUUUCUGAAUGAGUUUUCAUGAGUAGACGGGGUAAAUGGGAAGGGAAACCUCGAAAAGGUUAAUACAAUAAUAGAAUGGGCGCAUAUAUGAGUUGUGUGUGUGUGGCGGUCAAUAGGAUUUCUUGAAUAUUUAUAGGCAUGUGUGAUUUUAUCUAGACAUGUUACGUUAGAUAUUAACUACAAGUAAGAAGGUGUAGAGAUGGUCUGUGGUGCACGGACAUUUCUACUCAGUAAUUAUAGCCGUUGUUACGAAGGGAGUAAAUUUUGUUGUAAUUUUCCCAUGUAAGUUAGUUCAAAUAGGAUGGUAGCUUUUAUUACGUGCAUAAUCCAAGCAGGCUGUUUAAAUUAAGGGAGUGUUUGGCUCCAGUUGGGCUAAAGUUUAGCCCUGUCAGAUCGAAUGUUUAGAUACUAAUUAAGAGUAUUAAGUAUAGUCUAAUUACAAAACUAAUUACACAGAUGGAGUCUAAUUCGUGAGACGAAUCUAUUAAGCCUAAUUAGUUCAUGAUUUGAUAACGUGGUGUUACAGUAACCAUUUGCUAAUGAUGGAUUAAUUAGGCUUAACAUAUUCGUCUCGCGAAUUAGCCUAGGGGUUCUGCAAUUAGUUUUAUAAUUAGUUCAUGUUUAGUCCUCCUAAUUAGCAUCCGAACAUCCGAUAUGGCAAGGCUAAAUUUUAACCUCUGGUAUCCAAACACCCUAGGACAUAAUUUCCUCUAAAAUUCUCGCGCACAACCCUUUGUUGCUUAAGCCAUCAGCUAGCUGCAGUUGCUGUACCAUGUAUGUGUUCCAUUGAACUGUGCUUCUCAAUCGCUAGUCUGAUGACCUCGGUUCCAUUUGUACGUUGCCCGUUGUAACGGCCGGGUCACCCUCACAACAAUGCACUAAAUUCUUGUGGAUUUCUCAGUGCAUUUUCCUAGAUGGCAACCAUUCUCAAAGUGUAUUUUGUAAUCGAUCUUGGCUCGACGAGCAACAAGCCAACAACUGAGCAGCUCUCCUGUGGCCUCUUUGUCUCCUGACUAAUUAUACAUAUAAGAAAACCAGAUUAUUCCAAUGCUCCCCUCAUCGCCUGACAGAGGCCAGGGGUUGCGUUAAGAAUACGUACUUUAAUUUUGGCCAAGAAACAACCAAACAAACACAGCUGGUGUAGUAAUAAUGUGUUGUGCGGGGUUGUUUACAAGAUUACAAGUUCCUGAAGAAAGACAGACCAAAAAAACAAAUUAAGAAAAGAUUCUAAGCCUUGAUUCUGUUGACGAUCGAUGAUUUACGUGUCAUCAUCAGGAUCGACGAGUGUUGCUACGGCGAAUCUUGUUCCAUCCUUGCUCACCUGCGCCAUGACCUCGUCCUCGGCGCGUCACCGUACUCCGGUCGGCGCAACAUGUACGAUAGCCUCCACUCUCAACUCUGCCACCGCGUUCCAGAGUUCCACUGCGCUUCGCUUGGCAGUUCUCACACCACACGCAUGGAGCUGGCUUGAGCAGUGUGAAUCCAGUGGAGUACCAACCAGCGACCAUUCUUUUCUCGGUGCAUCCCAUUUCCAUUAUUCCUUAUUUGCACGCCAACAAUGCAAGAACUUUGGACCUGCAUUUGUUGGUUCUGGUGUGUUUUUCUUCCCCGAUUGUUUCUGAAUCAGUUUUCGAUCAGCAGAUGGGGAAAUGAGAAGGGAAACCUAGCUAGAAAAGGCUAAGCCGCUAAGACACUACUUUACUUAGAAUGGGAUUUCUCGAAUAUUUAUAGGCAUGUGUGAUUUCACCGAGACAUACGUUUGAUAUUACUACUAGCAGUAGUUAACAAGGUGUAGCUGCUCUGUGGUGCACGUACGGACAUUUCUACUGACCAAUGAUCACCGUGGUUAUGAAGGGAGUAAAUUUUGUUGAAAUUUCCCCAUGUAAGUUAGUUCAAAUAGGAUGGUACAUAGCUUUAUCCACAAGUUUAAUCAUAUCCAAGCAUGCACAAUAAAUUAAGACAUAAUUUCCUCUAAAAUUCUCGCAAUUUUCCCACCAUGCUCUUAUUAAUUUGAAACCCAAAUAACCGUCGGCGUUGUCCGAAAAAGAGAUCACGCGACGCGACGCUUGUACAUGAAUAAUCCAGAGGAUGCUUUUGUUGCUUAAGCAGUCACCUAGCUGCAGUUGCUAGUUUGCUACACUCAGAAUGUGGGACAUGGCACCAGUUCAUCUGGGAUAUCUGAGAGCAUUUUCCCAGAUGCCAGCCAUUCCCAAAAUGUGUUUGCACUCGAUCUUGUCUGGACGAGCAACAAAACAAGCCGAGGGCCCUCGCAAGUCACAACAACUCGAUCUUCUUCCAAGAUAGCAGCUUUCUCUUGCUUGGUGGCCCUCUUCAGUUUGUCUCUCGUGACUAGUAUCACUGGCUAGCUAGCUAGUUGUGGAUGCAGAGAGUUGCAGCAUGGACUGUGGAGUGAUGUAUAUAUGGGAAAAGCUGCAGUAGGCGAACCCGGAACUAACUGACAAUAGUGAGUGCAUCCCAUCAACCAUAGGAACAUAACAGUAACUCAACUUUAAUAGAAGAUGACCUAAUACCAUUAUGCUAUACAAACUGCACUGCAGCUAAACAGUGGGAGUCAAAAACGGCAACUGAUAGUGUAGACUUAUUUGGACAAUUUAAUUGGAAAAAAAAAACAAAACUAUAGCUACAAAGAGAACGGUCUGCUACUCUGCUUUCAAACCAUAAGCAGAGCUCCAGAUGCCGUUCCUACUCACCCUUCGGACGGACAGACAUUCCAAAACGACCGGUUGUGCAAAAUCGUCACAACAUCCAUUGUCGUCCAGCCCGGUUAGGAUACCUGGCUUUCACCCAGGCGACCCGGGUUCAAAUCCCGGCAAUGGAACUAUUUUUUCUCAUUUAUUUUUUUUCUUAUUCCUUGAACGAGACUAUCCCAAGCUUCAUCUCGGAUAAUGAAUUAUUGGAACUGAGAUCUCUGCAUCGACGAGAAACAUGGCUCCUGCAACGGCAUCCCGAGAGCUUCAUCUCUGAUCCAUUGUCGCCGAAAAUGGUUGAAGGAAUUAAUCACAAGUCAAAUGUUAAACUUUUAGCAGCCACUACUAAGAGCAACGGCAUCCCGCAACGAGGAUGCAUUAUGAACAAUGAACGCUUCGAGCGACCUUGUAUGAAAGUCCCCAGCAUAGGCCAUCCUUGCUAUAUUGAUAUGCCCAAACUGAGCUUCGCUCUCAUCCAAGCUCCAUUCAGUUCACUAGGGUUCAUUCAUCAAUCCCAGGUCACAGGGUUAUUGCAUCUACUCACGCAUGCAAGCAAAAAUCUUCAUAGGUUCUUCGCCUCCUUGGUUCGCAACUUCCAAGUCACCACCUUCGUUCUUCCUCCUCCCACCAUUCUCCUUGGACCCUGCAUCCGCCACCGCCACCAAACACUGAGUUUCCCCAAAAACAAAAUAAAGAAAAGAGAGAGAGGAAGAAAACGUAGUAAAUGGCAAGAUGAUAUAUAAAGAGAAAGUUGAGAGACCCACAUCACUCUAGGUCAAGCAAAUGAACUUUACAAGACAGCUACGCGUACCUGCAAACUUUGUUUAGAUGUGGUUGGCAUCGUGCAAAGGGUGUAUCAACAACUGACGAGAGGAAUGAUUGUGCUUUCUGAGUCAUCGUCCCGCAUUCUCUUCCUUUUCUUUAUUCUCUGCUACUUCCACUCAUCUUCCUUUUCUUUAUUCCUUUUCCAGUUGCUGCGGUUGGUUCUGGAUCAGCAGCAGCACUUGUGGGUUUGUUGAGUGAGAACCCGUUGCUUCUUGCCUAUCUUUCCACGCGCUCUUUCUCUCACAAUCUUCUUCCUCCCGAUUCCAAGUCUUCCAACUUCCAUCCCCACGGCCACGCACUGCUCUUCCCUCCUGCUCUGGUCUCGCUCGCUUGCGCGUCGUGGGGCCGGGAGAUCACGUCAAGGUCAAGGGGCUGCCACACUGCUCGAAGCUUUCCAUCUUCUCCGAAAAAACCAGGUUGGUUUCCCCGUCCUUUUGUUGGAGUUCGUGUAGAUUUCUGUCUCCGCCGGACCGAUGCCACCGUCGCCGCCUCCCACGGUCCCCUCCUUCCCUGGUGGCUCGUUUGCUUGACUGAUCAGUGACCUCAUCAGAAAGCAUUCCUAAGGAAACUGCUCACUUCAAACUCAGAUUGAGCACAAGCUAGGAGACCCGAUGGGCUCUGCGGUGGUGAGUGAGCUCAGCGAAUCACACUCUCUCUGUUUUUCCUGUUUGCAUCCCAAACUCUAAAGAACCUUGUUAAAAAAGAAAGAGUUACUAAGUAGUAUUACUCCAGAUCGACGAUUCCAUCUUUUUUAAAGCUUCCGAAUCAAUUUUUUUUGUUUGAUUUAGGAGUAAAAGAAAAACCACAGACCAUCAACUUAGAGAGCAACCAGAAGAAAUAAAAGCAGAGGUGAUGGAGGCUGCCGUGGUGAGCGCGUCGCACGGUGCAAUGGGCUCCCUGCUAGGGAAGCUUGGUGAACUUCUCACAGCAAAGUACAAGCUGCUCAAGGAAGCAAAGGGACAGAUCAUGUUCUUAAAGGCUGAACUCGAGACCAUGUAUGUCUUUCUGAAGAAGAUCUCAGAUACAGAGGAGCCUGAUGAGCAAGACAAGCACUGGGCCAAGGAGGUACGCGAGCUGUCCUAUGAUAUCGAUGACAGUGUCAGCGAGUUCAUGCUCCGCGUGGAAUGCGACUCCAGCAAGCCACACGGAUUCAAAGGGUUCAUCGUUAGGAGCAUGAAGUUAAUGACAACCGUGAACACUAGGCAUGAGAUUGCCAAAGAGUUUGAAGGCCUUAAGAACCGUGUCAAGGAGGUGAGUGAGCGGCGUACGAGGUACAAGAUGGAUGAUGUUGCCCCAAAGUCAAACAACACAGCCAUCGAUCUUCGCUUGCUGGCGCUCCAUGCUGAGACGGCGAGCCUUGUUGGCGUCACGGGACCAAGGGACCAGCUGAUUCAGUUGAUGGAUGCAGAGGGUGUGUCUGCACAUCAGCUAAAGGUGCUCUCUAUUGUGGGGUUUGGAGGUCUUGGAAAGACUACUCUUGCAAAUGAGAUUUAUCGCAAGCUUGAGGAGAAGUUCCAGUGUCAAGCUUUUGUUUCUGUGUCCCAGAAACCAAACAUCAGGAAGAUUCUGAGAACAAUACUAUCUCAAGUUGGCUUUGUACCUCCUAAGGACACCAACAUUGAAAUGUGGGAAGAGCCUGAACUGAUUAGUUCAGUGAAAAAAUUCUUAUUGGACAAGAGGUACGUACUCUGAAAAUAAUUGUGCUCUAAGAACAUUUAUGAUAUUUAGUUGAUUUCCUAUUUUGAAGCUAUUAUUGUUUAGAAAUUAGAAUCCUAGUAUUUGGUAGGCAACAUUACGAUGUGUCUAGAUCUCUUCUCUAGAUCUUAGUUUCUCACGGCUAAAUGGCUUGUCCCUGUUGUAUCUUCAUCUGUGGUAAUUUGCAAAAUUCAAAAAAACAUUUUUUUAAUUAGAUGUGAGAAAUUAUAAUUAAUAUUUGGGCUAGUAAAUAGUCUUGACAAAAAAGCGUCAACUAUAAAGUUUUGUUUUUAGAUUUUGUCAAUUCUACAUUUUUUAUAUAAAUUUUGUGUUAAUCCAACUUUGAUGAAAGUUGUGAUUUUUCCUUUAAAAUGCUUGCUUUUAUUUGUGUUGGCGCGCCACAUAAGCAACUGCAAGUAGAAUUGUCAUUUGUGCUGGCGGUUACUUAUACGGCCCACCAGCGCAAAAACAUGUCCUUACCAGUAUAAAUUAUUUUUGGGUGCAAUGAGGAUACAUUCCUGUGUUCAUUUACUCUAUCCUAAUGCUUGCUACAUUCCCUAUGUAUUUACAUGGCAGGUACCUCAUUGUAAUUGAUGACAUCUGGGAUGCUUCUGCAUGGUAUGUUAUUAGAUGUGCUCUUCCAGAGAGCAUGAAUGGUAGUAGAGUAAUAACAACUACUCGAAUUGAGGCUGUGGCUAGAGCAUGCAGCACUAAUCACAUUGAGUGUGUUUACAAGAUGAAGGCACUUAGUGACCAAGACUCAAAAAGGUUGUUCUUCAAAAGAAUAUUCGGUUUGGAGGAUGCUUGCCCUUCAUAUUUGAAAGAAGUGUCAGGUGAAAUUGUGAAAAAAUGUGGUGGUUUACCGCUUGCAAUCAUCACAAUAUCAAGCCUUUUAGCCAAUCAAUCAAACAAAUUAAAGGAAAAUUGGGAUUAUGUACGGAACUCUCUAGGCUCCAACUUUGAACCAAGCUUGGAAGGCAUGAGACAAAUAUUGAGUCUUAGCUACACAAAUCUUCCGUACCAUUUGAAGGCAUGCAUGCUAUAUUUAGGUAUUUAUCCGGAGGACUACACAAUCAACAAGAAUGAUUUGGCGAGACAAUGGGUAGCUGAAGGUUUUAUAUAUAAAGCUAGCGCGACAGAUCCAGAGGAUAUUGCAAAGAACUAUUUCAAUGAUCUCGUCAAUAGGAGUAUGAUACAGCCUGCAGAUACAGAUUAUAAUGGCGAGGUGAUAUCCUGCAAGGUACAUGAUAUGGUGCUUGAUCUUAUCCUACAUAAAUCAAGGGAAGAAAAUUUUGUAACUGUAAUAGAUGAUAUACAAGACAUGACAGGACAUAAAGAUAAGAUCCGUAGACUCUCUUUCAAUCAGGACAGUGUUAUAGAUUCUAGAUUCAUGGGAUCUGUCCAGCUAUCCCAAACACGAACCCUUGCAAGAUUCGGUAGCUCUUCACGGUUACCGCCAUUUCUGCAGUUCAAGCACCUACGGGUUUUAAUAAUUGAAACUUCACGAGCAAUUGGGCCAUCACCAUUACUUGACUUCGAUAGAAUAUGCCAUUUGUUUCAGUUGAGGUGCUUAAAGAUUGUAGCGGAAGAUUAUGAUGCGGUGUUACCUAGUAAAAUUGGAGAUUUGCAGCAACUGGAAACGUUUGAAGUACAACUUGACUACAAAUUUCUUCAAGGGAGGAAAUCUCUGAAAUUACCAUCAGAUAUUGUUCAUUUGAGCCGGUUAUUGCAUUUGAUUGUUCCAGUGAGGACAAUAUUGCCUGAUGGGAUAGGUAACAUGAGAUCAUUGCAUACUGUACACCGAUUUAAUUUGGCGAACUCACUGCACAGUAUCAAGAGUCUGAGAGAACUGACCAAUCUGACAGACCUUGAAAUUGGCUUUGCGGGCUCCAUUAUUGAUCAUGAGGUGGUGGAACGAGGCAGGGAAGUUCUCCACAUAUGCUUUGAAAAACUUUGCAACCUCAAAUAUCUAAAAGUGAAUAUUUUUCCCUCCGAAGCCUACUUGGAUGCAUUCAGUCCAAUACCUGCUUCUUUCCGCCAUCUCCAGAGAUUCCAUGGAUCCAGCUUUUCAAGGGUUCCUGGUUGGAUUGGCGAACUCCAUAGCAUCUAUGACCUGGUGCUUACUGUUCAGGAGGUUCUGGAGGAUGAUGUUGGGAUUCUUGCACAGCUGCCUUCCCUUAUCCACCUAAUCUUGCACAUCAGAGGAGCACCUAAAGGUAAGGUUCUCAUCCGCGGAGGAACUGGAUUAUUCCCAGUUUUGAAGUAUUUUGAAGCUCGCUGCUGCAGGGUAUCAUACCUGAGCUUCGAGGCAGGGGCAAUGCCCAAGCUUGAAAGGCUCGUGUUGUGCCUCAAUGCACAUAGAUGGGACAGGUACGGCGCCCCGCCUGCUGGCAUCGAGCACCUUUCAGGCCUCAAGGAAAUCUGUGUAGACAUUGGGGCUUUGGGUGCCAAGAAAUCCAACGGGAGUGCUGCAGAGUCCGCGCUGAGGAACGCGGCGGACAUGCACCCAGGUCGUCCUGUAGCCAACAUAAGGAUUAACAAUUUUCAAUGCUGGGCAUGUGAUACCAUGGAUGAUGAACCUUGCGAGAAGGACGAGGAAGGUUGGAACAGCAGCAGCACCUGAUCAAGGCCAGGUACAAAGUCUUAGCGUACCAUCACCUUUAUGCCAGCUGAUGUUUUUCAACCUUUCCUCGAACUAGCUAGCAGCAGUGGUAACUUUUUGUCUCAGCUAGCUGUGCCAUCAAUUAAAAGAUGUUUAUAGGAAGCCCUCUUUAUGUGUUCAUCAGUACCAAUUUCAAUUAAAAAUUUUAUUUAACUGGCGUUGCUUGUACUGCUGUCGUUAUGGCCAGGAUUUAGUCUGGGGACGAAACAGUAGUAUUUUGCGAGGCUUGCGCUCGUGCCUUAUCUCUGACAGACUGAACCUCAUCGCUCUUCCCUUGCUUACAUCAUGCUGAUAUAAAAUUGACUAGAUGAAACACGUAUAUAUACUACCUGAUGAUGAUAUAGAUAUAGAUAGAUAAGAACGUUACUAUAUGUUUACUGUUGUGUCCUUAUAUGAUAUAAAUAAAUAAAGAAAGGGAUCCAUAUGUGAUUUUUAUGAAACACUUUUCCUUAAUAAAAAGAUAGAAGUACAUGUAUGUCACAUAUAUGGCCACAGUGAUUACACGUUAGCAUUUCAGGUGCCACUCGCUUCCAGACCAAGUGCCACAGCAACGCCUGCCCCAUCGACAGCAACUAGGAGGAGUGGCCGGCUAGCUAAACAGGCUCUCAACAUUGCAAUCAGGCCAUCCAAAAAGGGUGAGGUUCUUGCUAUGAGAAAACUGGGCAUAAUUCCAGCUGACGGCGACAUCGAGCACGCAAGGAACUUCGAUAAAUUCAUUGCCACAACCAUGCAGCCGGCUCAUUUUGAAACUCUGCGUGAUGUUUUUCCAACCGCAAGAGAACUGACUGAUAAUGAUCUAUUGCACAUUGCUGGCCAAGCAGCCGGUGCCUGAUGACUGACGGCGGAAGCAUCAGUGCCUUGGGUUGCUGUCUAUUUUCAUGCACGAUACAAACCAGAAUGUCCUGGUUUGGAACGUGCGUGGGUUGAACGCAUGUUGCCGACGAGACGUUUUGCGUGAUGUCACGCGUGAGGCUAGAGCCACGGUCGUCUGUGUUCAAGAAACAAAACUUGCUGUAAUUUCUCCAUUUCUUGUGUCUGAAAUGCUUGGAAGUUCCUUCUCCUCUUACGCCUUCGCACCAUCAAUUGGAGCCAGCGGGGGGAUAUUGACGGCAUGCAAAGGGCCAGACCUAUCUUGCACCACACUUCACAUUGGGUGUUUUUCGGUCACUGUCACCAUCAGUACGACUGGCUCUUCCGACCACUGGUGUCUCACCAAUGUUUUUGAUGAAACAGGAGGGGGAUGAUCAUCCCCUACUGGAUAUAUAUUAAUAUAAAAGAACAAAAGUUGUAGAAUUACAAAUCAAGAAAUAAAAAAGGAUAGGAAGAAAAUCAGAAAGACUACAAUGAGUGCUCUAGCCAUUCAAACAUUGAUUGUUUCCAAACCUCUUUUACUCGCAGAACAACUUGAGUAAAAACAGUCCUAAACCUCAUCAUAGCAUCCUGCACUGAAGGAGUAAUAUUUCUGAAAAUCCAAUCAUUUCUCGCCAUCCAAAUACACCAGCUCAUGAGAACAAUGAUUUUCAUAAAAAAUGGAACUUGCAGCUGAUUUUUAAAGCUGGUGAGGAUUGUGAAUGGUUCAUCUGUCAGAUUAGCAAAAAGACUAAUAUUGAUCCAACACUCUUGGGUAAAGGGGCAUUGCAGUAGAAGAUGGAACAAGGUUUCCUCAUUAUCAUGCUGACACAAGACACAAGAAUAAGAAGGCAGAGCCAUGUGUUUUCUUCUAAGUACAUUCAUGGUACUUAGCCGGUCAUUGAGUAAAAGCCAGAAAAAAAAUUUGUGUUUACUUUGACAUUUAGAUUUCCAAAGCCAUCUGAAAACCGGGUGCACCUGUCGAUGUCCAGACAGUACAUGAUAUGCUUUUGAUGAGGAGAAGUGAGAAUUACCCCAGAUAUAUGUCCAACAGUCAUGAUCUUCAUUAAAUUGGAUUUCAUUCAGAUCUAUACCCAAUUGAAGCAGCUGAUCCAUAGCUUGGGUUGAUAAAGGCAAAUUGAAAAGCUGGUGCAAGUUAGGCAGGUCAUAAGCUUUCCUAAUAGAUAUGUCAGCCUUUCUAGUGAAAGAGUAUUAUUGAGGAUACUCUUGUGCAGGGAUCUUAUUAUUCCACAAAUCAUGCCAGAGAAGACAUGUCCGACCAUUAUGCACAGUUACAGAUGCUAGACCUUUGAAUUUUGUCCAAGAGUUUCACAACAUCUUUCCACCAAAAAGAUCCUUUUCGAACUUGUCCUGGUAACAUGCCAGAAGCAUAAUAUUUCUCCCAAAUUAGAUGUACCCAUGGGAUGUCUGCCUUGUUCAGGAACUUAUGGAGGUACUUAAGAAGAAGAGCUUCAUUUUGAGUCCUUAGAUUUAACACCCCAAGGCCACCCUCUUUCUUUGGCAAACAAACAAGAUCCCAGGCAGCCUUUGGAGGUUGCCUAUUAUUUAUAUCUGAGUUUCUCCGGAGGCAACAUUUUCUAUAUUUGUCCACUUAUUUAUAUACUGUCUUAUGAAGCUGAAAAGUGCACAUAUGAAACAUUGGUGUGGCUGUGAAAAUUGAAUUUGUCAACUGGAGUUGCCCUGCAUCUGAUAGAAAUUUUGAUGUGGAUACCAAUCGCCGCUCACAUCUAGUGACCAUAGGCAGAAACUCCUCAAUCUUUGGCUUGGUAAGACCAAGAGGAAGCCCUAAAUAGGUAAAGGGAAGCUUACCAAUAGCACAUCCAAAAGUCUGUGAUAGGAAUUGUAAUUUUUCCUCUGUGAUAUUAAUGGGUACCAUCAUUGAUUUACAGAAAUUGACCCUUAGACCAGUGGACAAUGCAAAAUUAUGAAGGAGCUGCUUCAAAUGUAACAAUUGAUUAGGACAUCCCUCCAUAAUUAUUAGGGUAUCAACAGCAUACUGUAAUAUAGGGAAAUCAGAACUGUAUGUCAGAGGAAUUGGGAGUGUGAGGUGGCCUUGUUCUUUGGAGUCAUUUACAACGGUUUGGUGGAGUCUCACCAAUGUUUAUGGCCCACAAGCUGAAGCUCACAAGAUCGAUUUCCUCGAUGAACUUAGAAUGGUGCAUACUAUGGUCACGCCAAUGUGGGUUAUUGCAGGGGACUUCAACCUGGUACUUGAGGCCGAAGACAGAAACACAGAAACAACAAACCGUAGAACAUUGGCAAGAUUCAGACGCCUCCUUGAUGACCUACAACUAAAAGAUGUUUACCUACACGGUCGGAGAUACACAUGGAGCAAUGAACGCUCUCAACCCACCAUGGCGAGGCUUGACCGAGUGAUCGUUUCAGUUGAGUGGGAAGCUAACUUCCCCUCCUCUUUCCUUCAAGCUCUCUCUUCGGACAUGUCUGAUCACUGUCCCUUGCACCUUGCAACACACUCAUUGUUCACCAACAAGCGCAGGUUCCAUUUUGAGUCUUGGUGGCUAAAAUUACCUGGGUACCUGGAGGCCGUGGCUAAAGGGUGGGUCUGCCCGUCAACCGUUACUGACCCUUUCACAAGGUUAGAUAUUAAAUUCAAAAACACUGCGAGAGAGCUGGACAGUUGGAGUCAGAAAUCGGUGGGGAAUGUUAGGAACCAAAUCCUCAUUGCCAGGGCUAUAAUUUCGUGGCUGGAUGCUGCACAGGAACACAGAGUACUAACCUCUCAAGAAAGUAAUUUGAGAAAAGAUCUCAAGCACAAGAUGCUGGGCCUCCUGUCAUUAGAGAGGACUAUUGCCAGAUUACCAUCGAGAAUAAUAUACCUUCGAGAUGGGGAUGCCAGUUCUAGGCUGUUCCAUAUGCAAUGCAGCCACAGAACGAGGAAAAGGUUCAUAGCAAAGUUGGAAUAUGAGGGAUCUGUUGCUUUCACCCAUGAAGAAAAAGAGGAGAUGCUCUUAUUUCAAACGCAUCAUGGGAACGGCCAUGCAGCGUAGCGAGGUGAUUGACCUGCAAUCCCUUGGCGUCCAGCAGCUUGAUCUGACACACUUAGAUGCCCCAUUCUCUGAGCAAGAAAUCUGGGCCACCAUCAAAAUGCUGCCCAAUGAAAAGUCUCCAGGCCCCGAUGGCUUUACUGCAGAAUUCUACAAAUCGGCUUGGUCAGUGAUCAAAGAAGACAUCCUGGCUGCUUUCGAUGCCUUCUACAGAGUAGCUUGUGGUCGACUGCACAAACUUAAUGGGGCACUCAUCGCUUUGUUACCCAAGGGACAGCAGCCAAAGUCACCAUCAGACUACAGGCCUAUUAGCUUGAUACAUAGUUUUGCUAAGCUUAUUGCUAAGCUUUUGGCCAACAGGCUAGCGCCUAAACUUGAACACUUAAUGGAUGUAAAUCAAAGCGCCUUCAUUAAGAAGAGAUCCAUCCAUGACAGUUUCAAGUUUGUAGAGCAAGCUGCUAGAUCAUUACACAAGAAGAAGAAAGCCUCUAUGCUGCUCAAGUUGGAUAUCUCAAAGGCAUUUGACACAGUUUGUUGGCCGUUCAUGCUGCAGGUCCUGCAAGCCCUGGGUUUUGGGGGAAAAUUUCAAGAUUGGGUAUCUAUACUGGUAUCAACAGCCACAACAAGGGUAUUAGUCAACGGAAUGCUAGGAGGUGUUAUUCGCAAUAUGAGGGGACUACGGCAGGGGGACCCCCUGUCCCCCAUGAUCUUCAUCCUUCUGAUGGAGAUGAUGCACCGUCUGUUCAAAAAAGCAGUCCAGCAAGGUGUUUUGGCUGCACCGGCCGAUCAUGGCAUACAGCACCAAUGUUCUUUAUAUGCAGAUGACAUGAUCCUUUUUGCUUCACCGACAAUUCAGGACAUGGUCACGGUUAGGGAAAUUUUACUCUUCUUUGGAAAUGCGUCUGGCCUGCACACCAAUUUUCAGAAAAGCUUGGUGGCGCCCAUAGCAUGCUCUCAACAGCAGAUUGAAGUAAUCACUGAAAUUUUGCCAACCAGGAUUUCUGAAUUUCCCAUUCAAUAUUUGGGGCUACCAUUGACAGUUGGCAGAUUAAGGAAGGCACACUUCCAACUGUUGAUCUUGAUCGACCGAGUAACGGCUAGUAUGCCCACAUGGAAGGCGCUAUUGAUGAACAAAGCCGGCCGAUUGACAACAGUUAGGGUGGUCAUGACUUUAAUACCUAUUCACACACUUAUUUCAUUGAAAAUGCCAGACUGGGUCCUAAAGGAGAUUGACAAAAAGCGCCACGGUUUCCUGUGGACUGGCAAAGAAAAAAGCCUUAGGUGCUCACUAUACGGUUGCCUGGCCGACAGUUUGUAGGCCUACUGACUAUGGCAGC
rnacentral:lncRNA from 1 species